GUGGAGUUAGGUUCUUACCGCUCCACUCUACUCUACCCCAAAAGACCCACUACCCUUUAAGUUUUUUUAAUAUAUUUACACAAAAUACCACCGAACUUCCCUUCACACCCCCUCUCCUCCCAUUCUCUCUCCUUAGAGCAUCUCCAACAGCCUCUCUAAAUCGAACUCUCUAAACACUCAUAUAGCCAACUCUCCAUCUGAUUUAGCUAGUCAAACUAGAUACUCACUCCAACAGACUCUCUAUUAAUCCUCUCCAAAAUAAAAUCGGACCCAUAUGUCAGCCUGUCUCCCCUCUUCUUCCUCUCUCCCUCCCCUUCUUUCUCUUUUCUUCUUCUCCCCUUCCUUCCUUCCCGUCGAGGCGGCCGACGCAUGGCGCGGUGGUGCAGCGGCGCUGGGAGGCGGAAGGCGGCGCGGGGAGGCGGGAGGCGGGAGGCGGACGAGGUGGGAGGCGGCGGUCGACAACCUCGACAGCGCCGCGGUCGACGACCUCGACGACGACCCCGACGACGACCUCGACGACGGCGCCCCCGACGACGACGACGGUGGCCUCGGCAGUGGGGCGGAGGUGCGGUGCUGGCGGAGGUUGGGCACUGGCGCGGCGGAGGCCGGAGGGGCGGCGUGGGGAGGCGGCAAGGAAGCGGUGGGAGGCGGCGGGGAAAGGCAGGAGACGGGGGGAGGCGCGGGGAGGCGGGAGGCGGACGAGGUGGGAGGCGCCGCUCGACGACCUCGACGACGACCCCGACGACGACCUCGACGACGACGAUGGCGGCCCCGACGACCUCGAUGACGACGACCCCGACAACGGCGACCUCAACGACGACGACGAUGGCGCCCCCGACGACGACGACGAUGGCCUCGGCACUGGCCACUGGGGGCAGAGGGUUGUGUUGGCGGGAGGGUGGGGAAAACGCGUGGGGCCCAUGAUUGGAGAGGCGCUUUUGGCUGGCCAAAGUUGGCCAGCGCGGGGAGAAGUUUGGCUAGCCAGAUGGCUUGGCCAGUCACUUAGCUAGGCUGUUGGAGUGUGUUUUUGAUGCAAAAUUGCUAAAAUUUAACUUGGAGAGUGAGAUAAGGAGGCUGUUGGAGAUGCUCUUAGUCCUCCCCAUCUUCCUCGGGCAGCGACCGGCGGCCCGGCUGCUGCGGCGGUGGUGGGCGGGUGGCGCGGCUGCGGACGGCAAGCGAGUGCAGCAGGGUGAUGGGCGACAGCGCGUGGCCUGGACGGUGUCGACGACAGUGGCAAGUGUCGGCGGGCGGGUGGCGCGGCUGCGAUCCCCGAACCCUAGUUGGCUUGGAUUUAAGCGACGGCAAGGCCCAUAGCUCUCUCCUGUCUCCUCCAGUGCCGCAAGCAUCAAGAAUUCAAGCCUUUUUUAAAGAAAAGAAAAAAUUGUACUGUAAUUACAUCUGUCAAAUUUUUGGGAGAAAAUUUGUCGACAAAUAUAUAGCAAAAUCGAAACGAAAUCACACAUAAGCAUAUUUCAGUUGGGCCGCUACAUGCAUUCACAAAUAUAUGGAAUCUUUUUUUUUUUGAACCCGAAAUAUAUGGAAUCUUCACUCGAGCUUCUGAAUCCCAGUCAUUUUGGUUGAGCAUGCAAAUUCAGCCAAUCUCCUGCAACCAACUACACAUUGACUGAAUUUCUACUUGUCCUGAUCCAUAUGCAAAUGAGACUGAACUUCCAAGGGCAACUACUCAUUGACUGAAUUUCUACAUGGCCUGGUCGAUAUGCAAAUGAAACUGAAAUUCGAAGGGGUUCGGAAUUUUAUUCUCCGAAACCCCUGGGCCACAAAAUAUUCUCAUUUUUUAUUCUUUUUUCCUAGUGAUUAAUCGAUGAUGGUGCAAGGGGAUCGGAGAUUAUACAGCUCUUGCAGUUGUGGCACAACGAACUCACGGCGAGGUCGGCGGCCGCCAUUGAUCGCCAUGGCCGUGAGUUGAUGAGACAAUGUUUGCCUCUAUAAUUUUACAUGGGUUGUGAUCAAAGUUGCACAUUAUUCAUCAUUCAAUAUUUGUUAUCAAUCUCUCUCUCUAAAAAAUAGUAUUUGCUAUCAACUAUUUUGCCAGUUAAACAGAAUGACUUGUGAUGUUCCAGACAGAGAUCUCGUGCAGUCCGUUCAGGUUGGGCCGGAACGGGCUGGGCGUCCGUGCGGCCCGUUAUGUUUGGGCCGGAUGGGAUUCUUUUAGGCCAGAACGGGAGGUCUUGUACAUGCGGCCCAUUCUACAGUCGGACUAAAGGAUCUUUUUCGAAAGGAAAAAGUCCACUUUGACUCCCUUAAUUAUCGGCAGAAUCUAAUUCGUGACCCUCAAGCGCAAAACCGGAUAAGACGACUCCCCGAACUAUUGAAACCGGAGCAAUUUGACUCCCUCAGCGGUUUUGGAGGGCGGUUUCGCUGAUGUGGCGCUGACGUGUCGAUGUUGACCUAGUCUUCAUCUCACGUGGCGCUUACAUGGUAUUCGAAUUAAAAAAAUAUAUGUGGGACCCAUCUGUCAUUCACACCCAAAAAUAUAUUGUGGGACCCACUGACAUGUGGGGCCCACAUGUCAUCCUCUCUUAUCUACCUUCUUCAACCUCCCCCUCUCUUUCUCUCUCUUUUUGUUCGCGAGCGUGGGAUGGGGGCCAGCGGCGGCAGGAGGGCGGGCGGGCGAAGGCCGGAGCAGGGGCCAGAUCGGCGGCGGCGGCGGCAGACGGGGGCUGGAGCGGCGGUGGUCGGCGCCUCCUCCAACCCCAUCCCGGCCAGAGUUCACCCAGCCCGGAGCGGAGUCCCCCUCGCCGCCUAUCUCUCUCUCCCCCCCGAGUCGUCGACGUCCUCGCCCAUCCCUCCCCACGGCGCCGUUGCCGCCCCGCCUCGUCACUCCAGAUGCCAUGGAGCUCGCCGCGCUCUACACUGACCCCGUCGUGCUCUCCGCCGCCUUCCUCUGCCUCCUCCUCGACCUCUCCCUCCGCUCCUACCACCUGCCCCCCGGGACCCUCGGGCAUCCCCGUCCUCGACGCGCUCCCGCUCGUCGGCCCGGCCCCGCACGCUGACCUGGCGUCGCUAGAGCGCAAGUACGGGCCCGUCAUGUACCUCAAGAUGGGCACCUGCGGCGUCGUGGUGGCGUCGUCGCCGUGCGCGGCGAGGGCGUUCUUGCCGGUGCGCCACGACGAGGCUGCCCGGCUGCUGCGCGGCAGGGCGGAGGCGUCAGCCGCCGCCCGUCCCGUCGUCAUCCCGCUGCCGCUGACCACUCCUGCCGACCACACAAACAGGGGAGAAAGAGAUGAGGGAGAGAGAAGGAGGAGGAAAAUAUGGCCCCGCCGCCGCCGCCGCCGACCACUCCCUCGACCGCCGUUGCCGCCGCCCUAGACCCCUAGUGUCGCUUGCCUGCCGCCGGCCGCCGCCGCUUGUCCAGCUCUCGCCCUUGCAGACCGGUGAAAAAGAAGAGAAAGAGAGAAAGGAUGACAUGCGGGCUCCACAUGUCAGUGGGUUCCAUAAUAUAUUUCUUUGUGUGAAUGUCAGAUGGGUCCCACAUAUAUUUUCUUAAUUUGAAUGCCACGUAAGCGCCACGUGAGACGAAGACUAGGUCAACAUCAACACAUCAGUGUCACAUCAGCAAAACCGCCCUUCAAAACCGCUGAGGGAGUCAAAUUGCACCGGUUUCAAUAGUUUGGGGAGUCAUCUUAUCCGGUUUUGCGCUUGAGGGUUACGAAUUAGAUUCUGCGGAUAAUUAAGGGAGUCAAAGUGGACUUUUUCCUUUUCGAAAAAACACAAGCCCACUUAUAAAUGGUCUCACGAAGGUUAGGGCCCACCUACCUACCAGUAUCAAAAGAACGCAACCACUGCCUCGUGGUCGUGAACCGGCCGUGCGCCGGAGUUCCGCUCCCUCUGCCAUGGUUGCUGACAUGACGCCGCCUCCUUCCUUCUCACUGUGUCCUUCUCCUUCCUCCUAGAUCCCUUUUCUUCUUGUCUUAUCGCUUGUAAAAGACUUAUUAUAAGUUUAAAAGAUUUACUCUCUCCAUUCUAAAUUGGUCUAGAUAUUACACAGGUACUACACAAAGACAAAAAAAAAAAACUAAUAACUCUCUCAUACUAUAUUUACUCGCAACAAACCCAAUGCAUGCACCAUCCCCAUUAUUUUUUAGCCAAUAGGAAAUCAAGAUAUUGCAGCAACUAACGGUGUGUUUAGUUCACCCCAAACUUCCCCCGAAUUCCCAACUUUCCAUCACAUCACAUCACAUCAAAAACUAUCCUACACACAUAAACUCCUAACUUUUUUUUCCAAACUACCAACUUUUCACAAACUUCUCCCCAAUUUCAGAAACUAAACACAGCCUAAACACACCCCUAGACUAUUGCGUCAGCUAAACAAACCAUGCUUUCUGUUGAAGCAUGAGCAUGACACAUGCAUUGACACACUCACUGAUACCAGUAUACUCCGUAUAUAUCUAGAGAGGAUCACCAAACAUGGGAACACACCUCAUCAACCCAACUAAACAAACUAGCCGAGGACUCAAGGUCCAGCUGAAGCUGUGUUCGAAUGUUUGAUAAGGAAAGCUCUAAACCUUUCUUCCGCUCAAAAAAAGUAAUAGCUCAUCAAUUAAUUAUUAGCAAACAAAACUUGAAAAUGGAUUAAUAUUUUUUAAAAAAAUUCUAUAAUUAUUUUUCAAAAAAAAUAUUGGUUAUCAGUAUAGAAAAAGUGCACGCGGAGAAAAAAAAAAUAGAAGUUGGAAAAGUGUAGUUGAGAACACACUCAUAGUUCCUUUCAUAAGAAGCAGCCAGUGAAAAUAUGAAAUAGGCGUUUCUUUUUAGUUUCUAUCUUUUUGUAGUUUAUUAUUGAAUUUUAUAGCUCUUAAUUCUUAAAAUCUACAUUAAAAACUAAACUAUUUGACUAAUUUGACUAUUUGACUAAUUUGACUAAAAAAUAUUGUUUUAGAUCAGUGGUGUAAAGUUUUAGCGUGUUAUAUUGAGCAUUAUAAAGGGUGUCGUAUAGGGUAUACGAGCACUAAUAAAAAAAACUAAUUACAGAAUCUGUCAGUAAAUCACGAGACGAAUUUAUUAAGCCUAAUUAAUCUGUCAUUAGCAAAUGUUGACUGUAGCACCACAUUAUCAAAUAAUAAAACAAUUAGGCUUAAAAUAUUCGUCUCGCAAAUUAGUCGUAAUAUGUGCAAUUAAUUAUUUUUUAGCUUAUAUUAAAUAUUUUAUACAGGUGUUCCAACACUGGUGGAGAAAGCGUUUGUAUUCCCGGUUCGUAACCCCCAUUUAGUCCCGGUUUCUAAACCGGGACUACCAAUCUGGGACUAAAGAUAGUGAUCUUUAGUCCCGGGUGAAAUAACCGGGAGUAAAGAUCGAUCUUUAGUCCCGGUUGGUAACACCAACCGGGAGUAAAGAUGGCUCAGCCACGUGGCCGGCUGAGCCAUCUUACUAACCGGGACUAAAGAUCGAGCUGACCUUUUUUUUUCUUGCAUGGCCCUGUUGCGGCAUGGUUUAUAUAUAUAUAUAUAUAUAUAUAUAUAUAUAUAUAUAUAUAUAUAUAUAUAUAUAUGACCAAAAUAUAUUUACAUUAUAGAAAUUGUGUACACAUGCAUAUAGAAACAUAUGUAGUCAUGUAUUAAUUACAAUCCAUUAUAUGUUCUAGCUAGCUACGAUUUCGACGUAGUAGUAGUCGCUAGCUCAGAAGCUAAGGACCUAUGAAUUGUGUUUCCGUCGUAGUAGAAUUCACCCUUGGGAUCAAGGAUUUGUUCGUUGAUGAAUCCCAUGAGUUGUUCUUGAACCGCCGCGAUAAAUUCCUUGUGUGUGGUCAGGUUAUCCCUCAUGCGAAUAAACUAUAUGAAUGUAUGAAAUUGAUUAGUAAUUAAACAACAAAUCGAUACGUAAUGAAAUUUUGAAUUUAUUUAUACGUACAUCGAGCUCUCUAGUGGUGAUGAUUUGGUCUGCAAGGCAGUGGCAAUACUCGCACACGUAGUAGCCGCACAAGUUAGUUCCCUGCUUUUGCUUUGCGCACUACAAAUAAAUGACAAACGACGAGAGAUCUAAUUAAUAUACACUUGUAUGUAUUUGAAUCGGAAAAAUAUAAAUGUAGAGCAUGUGUACUCACAGGAAAUUUGAACUUCCGCCUAAGUCUUUCUCUCCAGUUGCCGCGGACCAAAUGACGGAACCGAUACCAAGCCCUACAUGGAGUUUAAAGCUAUGAUUCGUAGUAGCAAUUAACAUAACAAGAUUUUCUUAAUUAACAGAGGAACUUAUGACAGUACCUGUCUAUAAGUUCGAAAACCUUGUCAAACGUAGACUCUUUUUUAUCCAUUGAGUCAUAUACGUUGAUGGUGCAUGCCGACAUGUUGAAGAGUAAAAGCACCCAGUGGAAUCUGCAAUGUGCGUGGGAUGAAAUUUGGUAAGUUCGUACGGGAAUGAAAUUUGGUAUAGGAAGACAGUAAAAUUAAACUAACUCUGUGUUGUACGGCAACAGUAUGAACGUCUUGUAAUGCUGCGCCUUCAGGAGAUAGACGAGAUUGUCCUCUGUGGCUUGCGGAUAUUGGUCGAGCAUUGCGACGUUUACUUUCCGAGGGUCGAUGAAUCUAGUAUCGAAAACCCCCCGCCGUCGGGGCCUUUGAAUCUCCAUUCUACAACGAUAAAAGGGAGUAUAUAUUAUAUAUAGUCUACUUAUAUACAAGGACCUAAUUAAUUAAAGGAGACCUAGUAAGAAAUCUAACUGAACGAUAUACUUACAAAACCCAGCAACUCAUAAUAGAGACGUCGAGGGCAUCCAGCUGGUGUAGUUCGUAGAUUCCCUUGAAAUUGAUCCAGAGAAUGCCAUCUCCUUGCAAGAAGUCCGUGUCCUUGAUCCUCGCUCCGAUCAUCUCUCUACCGGUGGCGCUCAUCUCCAUGUACAGCUGAUGGAACUUGUACAUUUGUGUGGGUAGGGACUGCAGCAGCUCAAGCUUGACAAGUGGUUUACCGAGUUCGUACAUGUAUUUCACUUCCGCCUUUUCGAUUAGUGCGACUCCUAGCAAUUGAUCCGUAGUUAGACCGGUGUCAUUAAUAAAUUCUUCUAUUCCAAUAUCUUCACCGGUCACCAACGGCUCGAUCUCCUGGUUUGGUUGCUCUCCAAGCUGAGGGACUGGUUUGGACUUUCCAGAAGAUGCUUUCUUCAGCGUUCGCUCAUAGUCCGAUAGCUUUAUGGCCUCCUUGGCAGGUGCAGACAUACCCCUGAAGAAGUUCCUAACACUCGGGUCUAUAGGAAUCUUCUUUUUUGGACUUUGAGGCUUGAAUUGUCUCUUGACUUCUGAUGCCACGUAAGCGUCAAGCUCCUCUUGCGUGCAAUCGUACCACGUGUCCUUGUUCUUGGCGGCGUCAACUUUCGCCUUCUUCGUUACCCUUGUGUGGGCAGGCGGUGGAGCUUGGGGGGCCCUUGACUUUCAAGGUGCCGGAAGAGGAGCUUGCGGAGGAGUCGGUGUAGGAGCCUGAGAAGGAGUCGGUGCAGGAGCCUGAGGAGGAGUCGGUACAGGAGCCGGAGGAGGAGUCGGUGCAGGAGCCUGAGGUGGAGACGGUGCUGGAGCAUGAGGAGGAGACGGCGGAGCCGGAGGAGAUGGUGGAGCCGGAGGAGAUGGUGCACGAGACGCCGCUUGUCGCCCAGGGAUGAUGAUGUACCGCUUGCGCCAUAGAAUAAUGGCAUGGCUUGUGUCUCGUAGAUGCGUCUCACCGUCUCCUCCAGGGUAAUCCAGCUCGAGGUCCUUGUACGCGCCUUCGAUCAACUCAACUUCGACCUUGGAGUAUCCUGCUGGAAUCGGCCUGUAGUGGUAAGUACCUGAAGGGUCCGUUGGGAGGUUAUUUAUUAGUAAUCAACAUAUAUAAGCAGCAACUAGCGGAAUGACCAAAUCUAAAAUAUAUAAACUACGAGCUUACCUUUAUUGAUAAGUUCUUGAAAGGAAUAUGCAGCUCACAUGGUGCCUGCUGAGUGAUGUCAUCAACGGGGCAGGUGGAUUCGUCCUGGGUUUGCAUGGCGUCCAUGCUCUGUGAUCCUACCUGCCCCGUUGAGGCGCAGCUGCUACGGUUUCCUGACGGGCUCACCAUUACAGGAGGAAUGGUCGGCUGGGGAUCAUGGGACCGAUGUGCGGCCAUGCGUUCAUCGAUCUUCCUUGCCACCUCCUCUUGCAUGCUGAGCUCGUAGCUCGAUACCCUGAACUCUAGAUCUGCAAUCUUCGCCUCAGUACCUCUCUUGCUCCUCAUCCGACUCCUGUACGUGUGGAUGUCCUCCAUGAACCCAAUCUUCCAAGGAAUCACCCCUUUCCCUCGUGUUUGUCCUGGAUGCUUUGGAGUCUGCAGGGCGAGUGACAGCUCGUCCCUCUCUCUGUCCGGUCGGAACGUACCCUGAGAAGAGGCUUCCACUGCGUCUGUUAGUCGACGCGCAGCCUCGCGUAUCUGAUCGCCGAAGACCAGUGAGCCAUCAGCUGGGUUGAGCGUUCCACCGUCAGCAUAGUACCAGAACUUCGAUUGUUCCGGCCAAUUAGCGGUGGCCGGUUCGAUACCCCUCUCAAGCAAGCUAACCUCCAUCUCCUCCCACUUCGGCAUCGCGAUGCUUUAGCCGCCUGACCCCAAGUGGUGAUGGUACUUCUUCUUGGCGGUAUUUUCUUUGUUUCUUUCCAUCAUCGCCUGCCCUUGUUCACCUGUCUUAUAUGCAACGAACUCGUCCCAGUGAUCCCUUAGCUUUGGGAAUGUGUCGAAGUUCGGUGUCUGCCCCUUGAGGAUAUAUUUCUAGUACAGAUCUCCCUUGAAGCUCUGAAAUUGUUCUGCCAUUUUCUUCAGAGUCCACCUUUUCACUUUGUCCUCUGUACCCGCGGGAAGGGUGAAUGUCUCGAGCAUUGUGUCCAUAGCAUCUCUUUCUCCGAAUCUGGGACAAAGCUCUCAUGAUCUCCGCGUGCCCUUGUUCUGCGCCAGUACACCGUACUGACAGGCACGUUAUCCCGCACAACCCAACCGCUGUGACGUACAUAGUUCUUGGCGGCUUCUGCCGGGGCACUAGGUCGUCCGUCUUCGUCCACUUCCGUUAUGAUGUGCUGACCCUCAAGCUUCUUCGCGGCACCUCGUUGCCCGCGUGCCCUCUUCUGUCCAAUGGAGGGUUGACUUCCACUAGCCUCCUCCUCCUGGUUCCCCUCCACAUCCCUUUCCGCGUGCCCCUCCUGGUUCCCCUCCGCAUUCCUCUCCACGUUCCCUUUCUCGUUCAAAUACUGGUUUGGAUCCUCGUUCCCCUCUUCUUCGUUCCAGUACUGGCUGCUUCCCUCCGCGAUUGUAUCGUACAAUAUCUGUUCCUCAUCGCGAUCAGCCAUCUGUUCAUACAAGAGUGGUCGUAUAUUAGAACCCUACACAAUCUUAUAUGCUAAGUCUAAUUACAAAUCUAAUAAUCUUAUACUAAAACUCAAAUAGUGAUAUAUGCUAAGUCUAGGUGACGUAUAUUAUAGGACCCUAGCUAGUCAAUAAUUAUAUACUAAGUCUAAUUACAAAUAUAAUAAUCUUAUAUUAAAACUCAAAUAAUCUUAUAUGCUAAGACUAAAAUAGUCAUGUAUGCUAAGUGUAACUGUCGUAUUUUAGAACCCUACACAAUCUUAUACGCUAAGUCUAAUUACAAAUCUAAUAAUCUUAUACUCAAACUCAAAUAGUGAUAUAUGCUAAGUCUAGGUGUCGUAUAUUAAAUCUAAUAGUCUUAAUUGCAUUACAAAUAUAACAAUCAUAUAUAUAAUUACGUCACUUGACUGCGCGAAUUCCUUCGAGGGCUAGCUACCACUCCGGCUUGAGGGACGACUCCGACAACGUCUUUUCUGCAAGAUACAAAAAGAUGUAUUAGGAUAAACGCGAAGUAACAUAUAUUGCAUUUGACGUUCACGUUUCGUUCACGAUAUCGUUCACGUUUGCGUUCUCGUUAAGGUCACGUUUCAUUCACCUACAUUUGUUCGUUCACGUUCAUUCACAUGCCUAUAUUGCAUUUCACGUUCACGUUCGUUGACGUUCGUUCAUGCUCGUUAGUUCACGUUCGUUCGUUCUUUCACGUUCAAUUCUCGUUCACGUUCUUUCGCUCGUUCACGUUCGUUCGCUCGUUCUCAUUCACGUUCGUUCACUCGUUCUCGUUCACGUUCGUUCGCUCGUUCUCGUUCUCGUUCACGUUCAUUCGCUCGUUCUCGUUCUCGUUCACGUUCAUUCGCUCGUUCUCGUUCAUGUUCGUUCGCUCGUUCACGUUCGCUCGUUCUCGUUCACGUUCGCUCGCUCGUUCACGUUCGCUUGUUCUCAUUCACGUUCGUUCACUCGUUCACGUUCGCUCGUUCUCAUUCACGUUCGUUCGCUCGUUCACGGUCGUUCGCUCGUUCUCGGUCACGUUCUCGUUCACGUUCGUUCACGGCGGUGUGGCGGCAGCGGGACGGCGGUGUGGCAGCAGCGGAGCGGCGGCGGCGUGGCGCCGCGCGCGGCAUCGGCGUGGCGCGGCGGCAGCGUGCGGCGCGCGGCACGGUGCCGGCGUGGCGCUACGCCCGGUGGCGGCGUUGCGCGGCGGCGGCGUGGCGGCGCGGCGCAGGUGCCGUGCCGCGGCGGCGGCGUGGCGGCAACCGAGAGGGAGAGAGAGAGAUCGAGAUGAGAGAGAGAGAGAUCGAGGGAGGCGGCGGCGGCUCUCACCCCAGAGAUGCGGCGGCGGCGGAGGAGGCGGAGGCGGCGGCGACAACGACGAGCGCGAGACGACGGCGAGAUACGGCGGCGGUGUCGGCGUGGGGAUGCCAUAGGCAGUGGCGGCGAAGGAGAAGCCGAGAGAGAUCGAUCAGGCAAAAACUUCUUAGUGUUGGUGGAGAAGACGAGGGCGCGCAUCGGGAAUAUAUAUACCCCUAGAUCUUUAGUCCCGGUUGAUGAGAACAGCCGGGAGUAAAGAUAUUUUUAGUCGGGAGUAAAGAUAUCUUUACUCCUGGUUGUUCUCAUCAACCGGGACUAAAGAUAUUUUCCCGCUAUUUCCAAAUUCUUUUUAAACCCGGUUAGGGUUAAGAACCGGGACUACUGAUAAGCGCACUGAAUAUUAUUUUCCAUUACAUAUGUGUUUCUAAAAUAGAAGAUAAUGCAUUAAAAUUAUUUAACGUACAAAGAUUAAUAUUAAUGACAAUUACUUCGAAAAAUUAUUGUUGUCUGUAAUAAAUUAAGUGGAUAAAAUGUAAUAAGCAAAUAUAUGAUUUAAAAUUAAUAAAAAAAUCUAAUAAUCAUAUAUACUUAGACAAGUCCGAGAAUACUGAUCUCUUUGACAAGGUGACAAAGCAGAUGCGUCAUUAUAUUGAAAAAUGAAGGUGGAAAUAUCAACUCAAAACUGACGAGACAUUGCACCACAUCAUUCUGAAGGGCUUCUAAUCUAUCCGGAUCGAUGACCUUCUGCGAAAUUGCAUUCAUGAAUACACAUAGCUUUGUUAUUAUUGCCCGGACAUUGUCUGGAAGGAUACCCCUUAUUACAACUAGUAGCAGUUGUGUCAUCAACACGUGACAGUCAUGAGACUUUAGGUUUGUGAACUUCUUCUCCUUCGUGCUUAUUAUUCGCUUGAUAUUCGUGGAGUAUCCAGACGGUACCUUUAUGCUCUCCAAGCAUUCAAACAUACUUUCCUUCUCUGCCUUGCUAAGAGUGUAGCUGGCUGGAUUCAAGUAAUGGCUUCCUUUCUCCUUUGGUUCCGGGUGAAGGUCGUCGCGUUGUUCCAUAUGCUUCAGAUCAUUACGUGCUUCCAGUGUAUCUUUCGACUUUCCGUAUACACCUAGGAAGCCAAGAAGGUUUACGCAAAGGUUCUUAGUGAGGUGCAUCACGUCGAUUGCGUGGCGGACGUCCAAGAAUUCCCAAUAGGGUAACUCCCAAAAUAUAGAGUUCUUUUUCCACAUCGCCGCGUGACCAUCUUCGCUCUCUAUAGGCUGGCUUCCAGGCCCCUUUCCGAACACUACUUUAAGAUCUUUAACCAUAGCAAACACUGUUUUCCCGCUGCGAUGUUUAGGCUUCGUACGGUGGUCAGCCUUAUGUUCGAAGUGCUUGCCUUUCUUCCGUACCGGGUGGUUUGCUGCAAGGAAUCGACGAUGACCCAUGUAUAUAACCUUCCUACAGUGCUUAAGAUACGUAUUUUCUGUUUCAUCCAUACAGUGAGUGCAAGCCUUGUACCCCUUGUUGGACUGUCCGGAUAGGUUGCUAAGUGCAGGCCAAUCGUUGAUGGUUACGAACAGCAGCGCUCGUAGGUUAAACUUCUCCUGUUUGUCCUCGUCCCACAUGGGGACAUCUUCCUUCUUCCACAACAGUUUAAGAUCUUCGACCAGUGGUCUUAGGUACACAUCGAUGUCGUUACCAGGUUGCCUGGGGCCUUGAAUAAUAAUCGGCAUCAUUAUGUACUUCCUCUUCAUGCAUAGCCAGGGGAGAGGUUGUAGAUACACGUCGUAACGGGCCAAGUGCUAUGGCCGCUGCUCAUCUCUCCAAAAGGAUUCAUGCCAUCCGUACUCAAACCAAACCGUAUGUUUCGUGCAUCCUUUCCAAAUUCUUUAAAUUUUCUGUCGAUGUUUCACCACUGCGAACCAUCGGCGGGGUGUCUCAGCAUCCCGUCCUGUUGACGCUCUUCAGCGUGCCAUCGCAUCAUUCUAGCAUUCCCCUUGUUCCUGAACAAACGCUUUAGCCGUGGUAUUAUAGGGAAAUACCACAUCACCUUAGCAGGAAUUCUCUUCUUUGUAAGCUGCCUGCCAACUUCUCCUGGAUCGUCUCGUCUAAUCUUGUAUCGUAGUGCUUUGCAAACAGGGCAUGCUUCUAGGUUCUCAUACUCCUCACCGCGAUAUAGGAUACAAUCAUUCGGACAUGCGUGAAUCUUCUGAACUUCCAGUCCUAGCGGGCAGACUAUCUUCUUAGCCUCGUACGUUGUCUCGGGCAAUUUGUUUCCCUCCGGAAGAAUGUUCUUGACGAGUUUCAAUAAAUCGCCAAAUGCCUUGUCACUAACCCCAUUUUUUGCCUUCCAUUGCAAGAACUCCAGAGUGGUAUCCAACUUUUUGUGCCCCUGCUCGCAACCUAGGUACAACGAAGUUCUGUGGUCCUCUAACAUCUUGUCCAAUUUAUGGGCCUCCUUUUCACUUUUGCAGUCCUCCUUGGCGUCCUGCAACAUCUGACCAAGAUCAUCCGCAACGUCGUUACCAUCAGCAUCCCUUUCCUCCUCGCCCGUUUGAUUUCCUUCAAAUCCAACGUACUGAGCAAAGUCCAGAAUAUUGUCGUCUUCCACUUCAUCUUCUUCCAUUUCAACACCUUGCUCUUCGUGGGAUGUCCAACAAUUAUAGCUUGGCAUGAACCCCGACUCAAACAAGUGGAAAUGAAUAGUCCUGGAUGCAGAAUACUCCUUCUGAUUCUUACACUUAUUGCAUGGACAACAAAUAAAACCCCUUUACCUGUUAGCUUCGGCCACUCUCAAAAAAUAGUGCAUGCCGUCAAUAAACUCUUUGGACCGCCGGUCAGCGUACAUCCAUUGCCGAUCCAUCUACAUGAGUCAAAAAAAAUCAUACAGAAAUAAUUAUUCUUACAAAAAUAACAGUCAUACAAUAAUUAUAAGAUAAUUACAAACUCUUUCAUCAGUCAUACAAUAAUGACAUAUCUUUAUUCAUACAAAAAUCAUAAAAUAUUACACCAAAUAAUUCUUAUUUACUAUUUCUAAAGUUUUAAACUAAUUUUAAUGUGUUUUACUUCUUUUAAUUUUCAUUUUAGUUUGUUUUCUAUUAUUUAAGAUUAACUUUCACUAUAUUUUCCUUCUCAACUAUUUUAUACAACCUUCUUUAGCAAAUCAACUAAAUUUCUAUAUAUUCUUUCUUCCCCACACAAAUUUUCUCUCUCAUCAACUUACAACUAAAUUUUGGAGACAAAAAAGUGUGCAAAACAUAGCUGCAAAUGUAAUAUGACAAAAAAACAUUGGAGGAUGAAGUUGCAAACCUUUUAGGCACCUCCGAUUUGUAUGUAAUCACCAAAAUAAAUUCACUAGGAAUUUUGGCAUGACCUUCCCUCUUUUUGGAAGAAAUUUUGAAGCUUGAUCAGGCAGCUGGAGGAGGAAGAAGACAUAUAUAUAGGGGUGGGACUUUAGUUCAGGUUGGUAAUACCAACCAGGACUAAAGUUACGAUCUUUAGUCCCGGUUGGUGUUACCAACCGGGACUAAAGAUCCCGGGGGGGCCUGACAGGCCCUGAUAGCAUUUGAACCGGGACUAAAGAUCAAAUAUGCCCGUUACCCUUUUUAACCGGGACUAAAGAUCAUCUUUAGCCCCAGUUUUUAUUGCAUCUGGGACUAUUGUGGAAUUCGGCCGACCGACGAAAGAUGGUUUCUCCACCAGUGCAACGUACCUUACUACUGUUGGAAUUUAAUCCAAUUAACUAAUUGAGUCUUAGCCUAAACAUGAUCACCUUCUGCUUAUGCGGAAAUUAAUUGAUCUACUGACCUGAGAUGAAGCCAUUGCUUUUCUUCUUUCUUCUUCUGUUGUGAGAUACCUCACGAACCCCUUCCAGUGUCUAAUCGAUCGGGCGAUUGAUUUAGGGUUUGAGGUUAGAGAGAGAUCAGAUCGUCACCUGCCUCCCUCCUUCUCUUUCUUUUUAUAGGCGACACUGGUGGGGCUCGGGGGUUUAUCUCAAUCUGAAAUUCGAGUCUAUUUUGUACCGAUCACACAAAACAAAUUUAUCUCUUAGUUUGUUUCUUGUUAGGAUAGGAAAACCGGUGGGAUUUUAACCUUAUCCUAACUAACCGGCAUUAGCCGAUAAAAUCAACCAACAUUCUCCCCUUGAUUUUGAGACUAACUGACGAGUUUAUCAAAUAAAAUAGCUCCCCAAAGCAAUGUGUCUUCGACAACAUUAUGCGUCACCGAGACAACAAGACCUAUAGUUUACUAUAGUACCCAAAUAAACUCAAGCUUAACUUAGUGGGUGUUGAUUGAAAAAUUAAGUCCCCCUCAUCCAGGAUCUUAGUGAGGCUCUUAUUUAUGCAUGUACUGGCCAGAACAUAUCUUAAUCAAUCUUAACUUUAUGAGCCUUUAGAGUAUGGAUCCAUGAGCAAAAGCUUAGCUUAAUAAUAAUUCGAUCCUGGGACAUAUCUUUCACAACUAUAUCAAUGUGUUAGGCAGAAAAGACACAACAUGUUGCUACUAGAAUAGAAAACUGUGUUCAAUUAGUGCACAACUUAUAACACAGUAUAAUUGAGUGGUUUACACCUUUUGAGUGGUUUGUGAGCGCUAUUUACCACUCUUAGUUCUGGGAAAUAUGAUUAAUCAUAACAUGCUUUAAAAUCUAACUGCAUCAUUGACUAUGCAGUAAGAGAUUAUUUUGGAGCUUUUCCAUGGUUAUUGCUCCCCUAUGUGUGGAUAUAGCUUAAUCCAAAUAAUCUUUAUAAAUAUCCACACAUCUCAUAAAAUAAGUGUCCAAAUGUCUCUAAACUUCUGAGAUCAUUGGACUUUAGAAAUAUGAGCAUGUUACUUAAGAUUGCCUUGUGAAUAAUACAAAACAUUCUUAAUAUCAGUGGUCUAGUCUGGAUUUAAUUAAAUACUGCCAAUAUUCCCAGUAAAAAUGUAUGCCAAAUCUGUAUGCAUCCAGAUUUGAGCUAAUCUCAAGCUUCUGUCAGCUGAAUCAUAAAUGAUUAUCUUUAUAAUUUAAUUUCAGCUUGACUAAUCUUUAACUGAAUUCUCUGAAAUUAUUUCUUUCUGUCAAUGUAUGACUAACUGAUAUAAGGCCUGUACUCCUUCAGACCAAAAUAAUUCAUGGAAAAUUUUCCUCAAUUUCUAACAGCAAUAUGCAUAGCUUGACAAUAAAAUGUCAUUAGUAUAGAGUACCGGUGAAUGAAAUUCCCACCUUUAAUUUUCAUGCAGCUGUCCACCUCACUUGGAUUGUUCGAAAUUUCCAUUAGAGUCGGGCUUAAUUUCAUUAACCCACUUAAAUGACCCACUAUUUUGACUCAUUUAGAAACUUCUACUAAAUUCUUUAUUUUGUUCAUCAAUCUCAAUUAUUCUUAUAUGGUUCGAAAACCAUUUAGAUGAACACUUUAAUGUCUUAUUUUGUUCAUCCAUCUCAAUUUACUUUUACAUGGUUCGAAAACCAUUUGGAUGAACGCUUAUUUUUUAAUGUCUUAUAAGGUGAACAAGCUUUAUUUAGUGUUUACCACCAUAAUCCGAUCUCAUAACUUCAUUUGAUUAGUAUCUUAAAUUUCUUAAAGGAAAUCGGAGGUCGCUUAUGGGUAAACAUAGCCAUAAAAAAUCAUUUGUUGGCUAAUAUCUUAACUUCGUGAAAUUUCCACUUAAAACUAAACAACGCCAUUAAAAUCUAAGGGAAAGAAUAUCUCUAACUCACGAGACGUUCCAAACUCCCCUAGGUAUGUGACAUAAGCGACAAUGACACUAUUUCAAUGACGCCUUACUUCCAUCAUUAUAGAAUAAUUAUUCUCCUCAUUCUUAUUUAAGCUUAGUUCACUAAUGACGCAGCCGAAUUUAAAACAUCAUCAAUGUUUGAUCAUGUCCACAAAUGGAUUUCUUAAGUCUGCACCCUAUAUGUGACUUGUCUUUCCAUAACAAAACCCUCAAGUCAUGUUAUGUAUAUUUAAUUGUGCAAGUCACAAAUUAAGAGAUACAAAAUUCUAGCGUCCACAUAAUGGAGCUAUGAGUCAUAAAUGAGGUAGAAUAAUCUUCUCUUAUUAGAGCUCUUGAUGAGCUCCCACUGAUUGUAUUAUUUAUUUAAUGGAAGCAUAAUAUCUUAUUUUUCAUAAACUUGAAUCACUUAAUUUUACUUAGUGAAUUAUCAUUUAAGUAAUAAUAGAUGUCAGAAAUUUCUAAGGGUGAAGUGUCUCGACCUUAAUGAGACAUAUAUUCUCCCCUAGAAAUGUGGCCGGAAAAUAAGGCCAUAAUUUCGACAAUGUCUCAUAAUGAUUCAACCCAAAAAAUAAUGCCCUUAAUCUUCUUAUUUAACUACUUUAUUGAAUCAGGACAUUAAGCAUGUCCCUAUUUCUUGCAAAGAACUUACACAAGAAAAUUUCAAGGGUAGCAUACAUAGGACAUAGAGGCAAUUUUAUUUCCCCUUGCGAGGAAUAUGAGCUUUAUUAUCAUUAAAUUUGGAAUUGCUACAACCCCAUAGUAAAGCUUCAUCUUUGCCAUCAAAUGACAAGAUUAAUAGGAUCUUACUUAGUUUGCCUCUUAGUCUUCUAUAUUUCUUAUUGAUUUGCGGAAUGAUGAACCAAGUCAAUUAUGGUCCACUUUGUCUUAGUAUUACAACUCUGAAAAUGACCGUAGUCUAAUGGGAGAAGAAUCAUAUGAAAUGGAGAAGUGGCGCAUAUGAAAUGUGCGAUGUCCAUCUCACUAAGUUUGCACGCCAUGUGAUUUAUUUCUUGUGCUACCUUUUAAAUUAUGGCGGCAAAUGUGCAUAUGCACUAAAAUUGUACUAAGCAUUAGUUUUGACAAACUUCUAAAGUUCAUCUCAACGUUUGCUAGAUACAGUUUCGCAAUGUCAUGCUCAAAAUUCUCCCCUAACACUAAUAGGGAUGAUAAUCUCAAUAUUUAUGAGUGACAUGCGAAACAUAGCAUUAUAUUGGCCUUCUCCCAGGCUAAAGAUGCCUCUUGAGUUUAGGAAAAAAUUAGUGACAUUAGCUGCGGGAGCCACAAGGAAUCCUUUGUUAAUGCUAAGUCAUACUCAAAUAGGCCUUAGGCUCAGUUAAGUCAAUGAGGAAUAAUAAUAAUAAUUCCAUAGACUUUAACUGAUAAAUAAAAUUAAGUGGCACUAUUAUUGUGGUUGCUUGUGCAAAUUACGUACAAUAGUACAUUAACUUACGCAAUAAUAACUUAAUCUUUAUUUCGCUUUGCAUCACCGUUGGGCAGAGACAAAACGAAGGAAUCAAUAAAUGAAAUUACUUAUAAUCCAAAAUCAAGUCACCGUUGGGCAGAAAUGAUUAGGGAAUAAACAUUAAUGUCUUAAGUCACAUCACCAAAAGGUAGAAGUGAUAAAGUAAAAAAACCCAAAUCAAAUCACCAUACGGUAGAAAUGAUUAGGAAAUGACGCCAUUAGUGAUGCCAUAGAAUUAAAAUUAAAAUCCUUAGCCAUAUCACCGUUGGCUAGAAAUGGUAAAGGAAUUAAGCUUACUGACAGAGUAGAUCCUCGAUCACAUCACCGUAAAGUAGAAGUGAUAAAAGGAAUUAAUGCACUAAUGGCAUCAAUAAAAUUCUAAGUCAUAUCACCAUUAAGGCCAAAAUGACAGAGAAAAUAAUUAGAUUUCUUCCCUUAAUUACAUCACCGUUGGGCAGAAAAUAAUUAAGGAAAUAACAAUCUUAAUGAAAUCAUCUUUCUUUCUAGAUAAACUUCCCGCUGGUUCCAUUUAUCUAGAAAUAACUUACUCAGUAUUGCAACAGAUCUUAAAUGAUAAGAAUUGCUGAUGGCAUAUAAUUAGUUUACCAUGGCUUUAAUCAAUCAUAUGCAAAAUAAACUUAGAAUUUCAUAGUCAAAGCACCAUUGGUCAUAAAUAAUUAUGAAUAAUCUUAAAAUUAAUUCCUUAAUUAUAUCACCAUUUGGUAGAAAAUAACUAAGGAAUAAAAAAUUAUAAUUGACAUGCAAUUAUAAUAACGUGGGUUAAAUAUAGCUUCAUAUCUUAAUGCUUCUAGUCGAAUUUCUCGUUGGUUCCAUUCGACUAUAAAUAAUUAAGUUUCUAAGGAAAUGACCAUCAUAAUGAUGUUGACAUGAAAUCAUAAAUACUUUCUAGUUAAAUUUUCAUUCAACUAGAAAUAAAUUAAAUGGCUUAAAGAAAUAAUAAUCUUAAUAAAUAUUGACAUGAAAUUAUAUUAACGUUAGUCAAAUAUAAUAUCAUAUCAUUAAUUUCUUUCUAGUUAAACUUCCCGUCGGUUCCCGUCGGUUCCAUUUAACUAGAAAUAGUUUUCCGAGUGAUCAAAUAAUUGACCAUAAUUUUCCAGCAAUUUUAAAUGGCUAAAAUAAUGCCAGAUGAAAUUGUGUAAUUUUGAAAUUAAUUAGGGCGUUUAGUGAAUUAAAUUGAUUUCGGCCCAAUUCUUCCGUAGUCGGCCCAAACUUGGGCCGGCCCGUUUUCGCGUGUGUGCGCACGCGCUAGCUGAGUGCGCCCCAGCCAGCGGCCCAGGUGGCUUCCGCGGCCGAAGGCGCGUGGCCCGUCAGUGGCGCUGGCCCAACGCGGAGAGGAUCCGAGCCGUCCGAUUGAUGGACGGCUCAGAUUGUUCUUGCGCCGGUAAAGUCGCCGACGGGGAGGGGUAAACCCUAAUCCCCAUUUUCAUUUCUCCUCUUCUCUCUGAUCUCUCCCCCGAUCUAAUCUCCCGGCGAGCGAGCGAGUGGAAUCGGCGGCGAUCUUGGCGGUGACGGCGUUCCGGCGAGGUGGAGCACGCGUGCGACGACGAGCACCGAGCGGCUUCCAUUUGCGCCGGCUGGGGGGAGCACGCACGAGGGCGGCGGCAAGCCGUGCCGGGUGUCGGCGGUCCGGCGAGGCGGGCGCACAAGCGGCGGCGAGCACCGAUGCGGCCCGGACCUCGUCGGCGGGGGGGCGGAGCCCGAAGGCAGCCGCCAAGCCGACGCUUCCCGUCCCCGGCGAGGGAAAGUGAGGAGGUGAAGUGGCGGCGAUGCCGCUUCCCGGAGAAAUUCCGGUGGGUUUAGAGGCUUCGAAAUCCGGUAAAUUCCCGAUCCCAAAACCCUAAUAUUGAGUUUAAUCUGGAUUUAAUUCGGGUUUUGGUCUUAGGGUUCUUAGAACCGAAAUUAGGGUUUCUCGAAUUUUGGGGAUUUUAGGCCGAUUUGCUCCGGCUUAUUGGGGAAAUUUCAAUCUUGUUUAUUCCCUUUUGCCUAACAGUGGGGAAUUUCAAUCUAGUUUAUCCCCCUGUUUUCUCCAAUUUACUUCUUAAUCCACUGUUCUUAUAUGAUAAGAACCUAGGGUUUAUGAGUUGGGAACAACGAGAGUUUCAAUCUGAUUUAUCUCAUUCGUUCUCCGCUUAGUAAAAUUCGAGAGAAAAGAAAAUCUCUCUCUGAUUGAAUUUCUCCCACUGUUAGGCAAAAGGGAAUAAACAAGAUUGAAAUUUCCCCAAUAAGCCGGAGCAAAUCGGCCUAAUAUCCCCAAAAUUCGAGAAACCCUAAUUAAUCAAUAAAUUGAUCUGUGAAGGGGUUUCUAAACUAAAUUGUUUUUGAAUGCUCGAUGUAGGCGUUGAACACCGGCGGCCACGGCAGCUCAUACGGGAACGCGACGCCGGCGUGCGCGUUCCGCUGGUGCUCCCGUUCCACCGCCAUGGUCCGGAGCCACGCUUCCUCCGACGGCGACAGACAGCAUGAGGUACCCCCUUUCCGCCCCCGACGAUUACGCCAGCGAUGCCGCAGCCGAAGUACACAUCUCCUUGCGGCCCGGCAGCCCGCGGGUGGCCACGGACAAAUUCAGGGUGUUCUUGACUGAGCAGUGAGCACCCAGUCGCCGUUGCUGGGUAGCCAGGAAAAUACUCUCAGGUGGUCGUCGUUGCUCACGCCGAUGAUACGGAGCUCGCCGCCGCCAUCGUCGUCACCGGCGACGACCCUGAACUUGCACUUGCGGGACCACUCCCUCAUGUGGUCUGGGAAUACGACGAUGGAGAACCUCGCCGUGAGCUCGUCAAGGGCUAGGCGGCUAGGAAGGCACCGAGGCUGCCGCGGCGUCUCAUCUCCGACGUGGGGACGGCGACCAUCUGGUAGCGCCGCGUAAGUGGCUCGCAGACGAUGAGGCCAUCAGGGCAGCAGCGGCUGUCGGAGUCUCGGCGAUCGUCCAGGAGGCGGUGUCCGGGACGAAGUCGAGUGAGAGGCGGCAGCCGUAGACGAGAACCGGCCUGGAGACGUGGACGAACGCCGCAUGGGAGACCGCGCCGCCAACGGCGUGGUAUUGGCCGACGAGGUCGGGCCCGUGGUGGACACGGAAGCGGCGGAGGAAGACACUGCACCGUCGGCGGCAUCAACGACGACGACGCGGCGCUAGCGCUUGCAGACGGACGCGGCGCGGAUGAGGCAGGCGGCGGAUCGGAGUGGAGGCGCAGCAGGACGAGCUCGAGGACUUUGUCGGAGAUGUCGUCGACCACCCACGUAGCCACGUAGGCCUCGCCGUCGCCGGCAGCAACAAGACGGUCUUCUUCCUCCGCGCCGCCGUGCUCCGGUUCUUGCAAGUUGCGACGGCUCAUUCUCGGAUCCAUUAACCUUGAUCUUCUUCUCGCGUUUGUUUAUGGCUUGUUAUAGAGUAUACCAUAUCGUGCAUCAUGGUAGUAUUUUAUACUCACUCCGUUUCAGGUUAUAAGACUUUCUAGCAUUACCCACGUUCAUAUGAACUAGGAAGGUAGUCCGCGCAUUCGCGUGGGCAUAUAUUUUAAGAUGUGUUUGAGAUAUUUACAGUUAUAAGGAUGGAAUAUUAACUGUAGAACACCUCUCAUGCUUCAAAAAACAAAUCUCCGUAUAAUUUUUCUGUCAGCAUAGCGUAUAAUUUUUCCAACCUAGCUUUAUACCAUACACUAUUUGGUUAAUCCCAAUAAGUAAUUAUCAAUAGUCUUUAUCAUAUAAAAUAAGAAGGAAAAAUUAGUUUGUUUUAAAAAAAUAUAUCUAACAAAUUAAGUGUAAAUUGAAAAUAAGGUGUUUUUGUCUUUAAAUUGAAUGUUAGUGGACAUUUUUCUAACAAAUCUUAAAAAACUUUUAUCGCUAACAAAUGUUUUUUAUUGUACCAUCAAGUUAGACCUCCUUUUGUUUGUUGUAUAUUGAUGCAAUUUGUUGCAUACUUACAUAUGAAUCAAUAAACAUAGAGGAGAUAUACAUAUCCUAGUCCUCGCUUCCCUACGAUACGUGUGAUCUAUGGUGCUAUUUUUUUUAAAAAAAAUAGCUAAUCAACAUGAAUCUUAAAAUUGAAAUCUAAUAGUAAGAAAUAUAACUUUUAAACCAACUAUAUACUGCUACCUUAGUUGCUACCUUAGUGUAACUUAUAUAUGCAAUAAUUUUUGGAGGAAUUCAUAAUUCCAUGGCGUACCAUAGAGAAAAAUCCAUUAACAUCUAUGCACUUAAAAAAAGAUGCAAUGGUUAAAUAUAAUUUCGCAUGCAUUUUUAUUUUUGAAGUGUGGUGUAUUAUGAAUGCGCGCUUGAAUAUCUAUCCAUGGUAUAUUAAAAGUGCAUUAAAUACUAUCUAAGGUUGAUUACAUGGUAAUAUAAUAUAGUUUAGAGCACUUACACAAAAGAUUAUUUGUGUUGCUCAGCUUAUUUGAGCAUACUAAUUUCAAUAAAAUUAUGAAGGUACUGUAUUUUUAUCCCGUGGUUUAUACGAUUUAUAUAUGAGUUAGCUUUUUUUUUUUUAUUUAGCUAUGCAUGUUUGCAAAACAAUGUAUGCUAGUGCAACAUGUUUUAAUUGUAAUUCAGUUGACAUGUAAAAGACUAAUGGCGUGUGUUCCUUCGAAUUUUUUAUUCAAUGGCUUGCACUAUUUAUAUGUAAACUAUGCUCAAAUCUUAUAUUCUUAUAUAGUAUAAUAUAGGCACAUGAAGCUUACAUUACUGGAAUGACUCCAACAAUCAGAUAAGAAAACAGGCGUAUAACUUAUAAUUAUAAUUAUUGAUUGUUUCUUUUUGUUUGAUAGCUUAAAGAAAUAGUGAGAGGAGAGGAAUGAAGAGAAUAGGGUCGAACCAUAGAGGGAAAGGAAAGGUUGGGUAGUGCUUUGCACAGGUUGGUGGGAGAGGGAUGGAGGAGACUCUCUUUUUCUAAAUGAUUUAGCUAAUGAUCAAAUGCUUUUUUUUCUCAGAUUUCUAUAAUUUUUAAGGUGUGCAUAUCACAGGUUAUGAAUUUCUAUGAAGGUAGAUUCAGUUUUAACUGGAAACCGAUGAUAAGAUGUUUUGUGUUUUCCUUUCUUCUAAGUUUCUUCUAAUUUUUUUAAAUGUGACAUAUGUUGACUUAAUAGUGACCCCGUAUUUUCUCUAAUUUUUAUUAUAUAGAAUAAUUUUUGAUGACAUAAUAUAUAUUGUCAAUUUUUUGUUGUUUGGUUGUUGGUCUAUGUUCAAAUUAUGUAUUUCAAAUUUUAUAUACCAAAAUAUGAGUAAUAAAUAUUCUCAUUUUCUUAUUUCGUUAUAGAUAAAACUAAAUAAAAGAACAUUACAAAGAAAUUAAAAAUCAGGUGUUAUUUGGUUGCAGAAGAGAUGUUUAUUCAAAUUAUGUAUUUAAAUUUUUAUAUAGUAACAUAUGGUUAAUAUAGAUCUUAAUUUAUUUAUGUAUCUAAUUAUAAAAAUAACAGUUCAAAUAAAUUAAACAUUAGAUAUAACUACGAUGAUUUAGCUAUCUAACUGUUGAUUAUUGUUCUUUUGAAUUCUUAGUCAAAAAUACAUCGUUUAAUAAUUUAUAUAAUCAUCAAAUAAUUAAUCAUCCCUGUCUAUAAUAAUAUAUGGCCCAAAGUCUAUAGCCGUGCCUGACCCGUUUAGCCUCAAGCUAAGAAAUUAAGUUAAAAACUACCAUGUAUUAUAAGAAAAAUGGAAAGAGGCAAGGAGAGGAGAGGCGGUCAAGGGAGGGAGUAAACAUGUACGUGUGCAUAUGUACGGUACUGCGGAUGGGAGAAUAUUUUGUCAACCAAUUUAAGUUAUCUAUAAUUAUUAAUUGAUCUAAUAUACUGAAAUAAUGAAUCACCAAGCGUUUUAUAAAAUAUCCAUGUGGCAGAUUAAGAGUGUUUAUAGGAUAUUUAAUGAAUUUUUUUAGCAUAUAAUAGAAAUAAAGGGAUAGAGGGAGAGCUAGCUAGACUUAAUAGAUCAAAGUCUAUUUGAAAUAAUUUCAAUUUUCGUUAUUUGGGGAUUAAAAAAGCAAACGAACGGAGGACAGCAAACGUAUGACGUUGUAUGUCGUACGUGCGUAUUCCCCACGGAGACAGGAUGGAGGGAUGUUUUUUUAAACAGUGAUCUAACCAUCUAAUAUAAUGGGUCCACCGAUUUAAAUGAAAAUCAAUGGUCAGAUUUAUCUAUUUUAUUAUGGUGCCACGUGGCGGUAUGAGAGCGUUUAUAGGGUGCUAUGUGGUGAUGCGAGAGCAUUUAUAGGAAGUUUAAUGGACUUUUAGUAGAUGAUAGAUAGAUAGAUAUACGCUAAUGAUCUAGACAUAUAUGUAUAUAUAUAUAUAUAUGUAUAUAUAUAUGUAUAUAUAUAUAUAUAUGUAUAUAUAUAUAUGUGUGUGUGUGCAAUGUUAGAAAGUCUUAUAACCUAAAAUAGAGGAAGUAAAAAAUUUAGUGCUUAUUACUUUAGCCUAUAAACAAUCACCUUUACUCGAAUUACAAAUUAAUCUACUGACGUGCACUAGAAGCCAUUGAAAAUUAUUCCUCUAUUUUUCGUCUUUCCUUUUCUUCUUCUCCCUUCGGCUUUGCUUCGCUUCUUCAUGCUAGGUUGCGCCGGUGACUAAGAUAGCGUCACGAACCCUGAUUUGAGGCUUUAGGCUUUAUGGUUUGGCGAGCGGUUAGAUCAUUAGAGCGUCCCCUUCCUCUCUGCAGUUCUUCUAUUUAUAGUACUAGUGGGGUUCGGGAGCUUAUCUCGAAUUUAGAUUCGAAAUUAGUUUUAACCAACCACAAAAACGGCAUGGUUCCAAUUUACCCCAAAAAACUUUGUUCUUAUCUCUUUAGAUCGGACUUGUGGGCUCAAUCCGAAAAAUCAACCAACAGAUAUAACAUUUAUAUGAUGGAUAAAAUCCUUAUAAAUAUGAGAUUUAAAUCAUAAUGCUUGGAGUAAUGUGCCAUAUGUCAAAAAUUACAUGUUAUUUUGUGUAAUUUGAACCAUAAUAUAUGUGGUUUUGUGAAAUUUAUUCUUUUUUAAUCUUUUUAAUAACUACUAGCAAAAUGCCCGUGCGUUGCACCGGGUAUUAGCGGGGUGACUGAAGUUUGAUAUUAAUGAUUUACCAAAACACCAUAGUAUAAUUAUUAGCAUCAAUUAUAUGUACAGUGAUAAAAAAAAGCCAUGUUUGUUUUUUUACUAUUAAUCUCAAUCUCUACUACAUCAUUCGUGUAUGAGUCAGUUUUUCUAAGUUCGUUCGUUUUUUAAAAUACAACAAGGACUUCUAAUUGCAUCUCAUAAUUUUCUAAAAACGUCCAAUAAACGACCAAUGAAACCACACACAAUCCUAAAAAAGUAAAACAAAGCAACAUUCAAUUCAAACUAUAUAUGCCAUUAAUUAGAUCUCAAUUUCAAAGAGAUUAUGGAAGUUGAACGGAGUCAAUCAGAGUUAUGGAUCACAAGAUAUGGAUUUUCGAAGUUUGAAGGAAUUAUAAACCGAGGGGAAGAGUGUCACGGUGAGGAGAUGAUUUAGACUUCCAGAGGGGUCUUUGGGUUAAAGAGGGAUGUAACAUGGACUUUAGCGGACAAAGAGGACUUCACACAAACUCCUUUAGAGGGAUCCAUCUCUUGGGAUCGGCCGAGGCAAAAAAAGGGAGCCAACACAGACUUGUACAAGGAAUCGACCUCAUGGGCUUGGACAGAGAAGUAGGGGGACAUGAUAUAGACUUUUAGAGGGAGAGAGUUCAGAGAGGAAGAGUCUAGACUGUGGGUCCCACCCCCUUUCUCUUUCUCUUUUCCUUUCCCCUCUCUCUCGGCCUCAUCUCCAUCUCUUCCUUUUGAGCGCUGCACCAAGGGCGAGCGAAGGCGACGCGACUGGGGGUGGCGGCGGUCUGGCGCAGCUCGGCGGCGCCCUGGCGCGACAGUGCACGCGGGAGGAGGUGGAGAGGAGAGGUCGGCGCCGCGUGGUGGUGGCGGCGACCUGUCGGUGGCGCGGUGCGGCCGGGGUGGCGGCUGGGCGGCGGCCUGGCACGGGUGGCCGGUGGUGAAGGAGGGGAGAGGCUAGCGGUGGGGAGAUGGAGACCGGCGGCGGUGGGGAUGGGAGAGAGGGCGACCAACCACCCCCUCCCCUUCCUCCCUCCAUCCAUCCAUCCUUAUCUCACCCAACCACCCCCUCCCUUUCCUCCCUAGGUACGUCCUCCCCAUAACGCCGCCCGACUCCCACCCGCCCCCAGCGUUGCUCGCCGCCUCCUCACCACCGGACCUCGCCGCGUGGCCGUGCCUCCUCAACCUUGUCGUCGUCGCCUUCGUCCUCCCUCUCGGCAUCUCUCCCGUGCAGCGAGUUGGUGUGGGCACAGGAGCCGCAGCGGCGGCUCCUCGGCGCGGUGGUGGCGCGGCAGCUCCACUGCACAUGCAGCGGCGGCGCCGCGGCUCCUCGGUGCAGUGGCGGCUCCUUGGCUAGGCCGUGCCUCCUCGGCCUCGUCGUCGCUGCCUGCUCAGUGGCUCCCCGGCGCAGCGGCUCCCCCAUGGCUCGGGACCUCCACGACGGUGAGGUGGCGAGGAGGAAGUUGGGUGAGGAGCAGCAGAAGCCUCCCGCUCACCCCUCCUUCCUCCUCUGUGAUGUUGGAUUAUCUCCUAUCCUGGAAUUUUUUUUUUAGCUGAUUUCGAUUGGAUUGGGUUAGAUUUGUGAUGAUUUGGGAUUGGUCGUGGGAUCUUCAGAGCGGAUGAAUCAGAGGGAGGAGGUGCGCAAUGCAUGGACUAAGACGGAUUUGUGCGGUUUUUAUUAUUCUUCUCGUUCGAUUUCGCUUCCUCUACGUUCUAUGUUUGGUUAGAUUUUGUAUUCGAUUGAAUUUGUGUAAUAUCGAUGUGUGGCGCGUGUGGGAACGGAGGGCUCGAUUCCGAUUGGGAUUGUGGGGGUGGGGGUGGGGGGGAGGGGAUUGCGAUGGACGGAUGAAAAGGCGAACGUUCGAGGUGACGAACGGAAAAAUCCAAAUCUUUUAAUUAGUUAAGAUUUAGGUUACAUGCAAGAGGGUUGGAAACACUUUACCUUUUUCUAGAAUAUAAAUAGAAUAGUAUAUACUCCUAUAUCGUAUCAAUAGUAGGAUAUUAAAAGUUUCAUUAUUAGGCUCUGUUCGUUUCCUGGAGUUCCCAACUCCCCCAUCUCAUUUUCCGCGCGCACGCUUUUCAAACUGCUAAACGGUGUGUUUUUUGCAAAAAGUUUAUAUACGAAAGUUGCUUAAAAAAUUAUAUUGAUCCAUUUUUGAAAAAAAAAUUAGCAAAUAAUUAAUUAAUCACGUGCUAAUGGACUGCUUCGUUUUCCGUACCGGAGGGAUGGGUUCCCAACUCAACCAAAAGAACAGAGCCUUAGUGUUUUUCACGUAUUUUGGUAAAAUAAUAGGACGCCCUGUACCACCCUAUCCUUCAAAUCUGUAUUAGCGCACUCUGCAUAAUAAUUGAGGCCAUAUUUCUCAUAGUAGCUUGCUUAUAUGAAAGGGUACCUGGAGGUAAAUCUAUAUAGAAUUUUCAUGUAGUGGCGGAGCCAAAAAUAAGAUUUUUGAGCCCAGACAAACUUUAAUAUAACUAGUAUUUGAGAUAAAAAUUUCAACGUCAAUUUACUUAUCAAUCUAAAGUUGUGUUCUCACCAACGAGCCUGGGCGGCCACCCGGACUAGCCACUGUUUUCAUGUGGGAUAAACACUCGGACCUAACGGUUUAAACCGGAACCGGAACAUAAAUUAACAUGCUGAGGUAUUACACGUCCCUUGAACAGAUCAAAGUUAUAUGUACAUGCACCAUUUAAAUACGUACUGGUUUUCAAAUACAUAGCUUCCUAAAAUCCGUAGUCAAACCUUAAAAUCUUGAAACAUUAAUAUGCAAAAUCCAUUAUACUGAAUGGUCUUAAUAGAUUUAUCAUGAAAAAUGAUAAGGACUAAAUUAAACCUGUCCAUUAAAGAUGUGUCCUUGCGAAAGGGCCUGUAGCCUAGUGGUUACAAGAGCCUCAGUAGCACCUGAGGUCCUGAGUUCGACUCCUCCUGGGAGCGAAUUUUCCAGGAUUUAACGGCGUUGUGCUUUCAGUGGUAGGCGACGUACCCGUCGACAGCGAGGCGCCUGUGGUGACUUCGUCAAUCUCUCCAGGAUUUGCCGGCCCAGUCUUCGAAGAUGCUCGUAAGGGUAGAGUUUGCGUGCGUAGAGUUUGCGUGCGUGCGUUCAUAGGGGUGAGUGCGUGUGCGUUGUGAGUGUCUGCGUUGUACUGUGUAAUUCUCAAAAAAAAAGAUGUGUCCUUGUCUAAAAGACCAUAUCUUUACCUAUUAUAAAAGUUUAAAAUGUUUUUGUCUACUUUUGCACGUCGUUCCAGUCCGAUUCCGGUUUUUUCAUCCGGCUUUCCAGAGUCUGUCGCGAGCACGUACGCAUAGCCGUCCGACCGCCGGCCAAUCUAGCAUCACUAGCCGAUCUCCUCAAUCGGAGCUUCCCUUCCUAUUCCCUCUCACCACCAGCUCCGCCUUGCUGAGAAGAACCUAUUUCUCUACGUUUCCCCUCCAUCUGCCGCCACCAUGAACCACACCGGAGCCUCCUCUCUCUCCUCGGGACAGAGCUUUUGCCGACCGCGUUCCCAACUUCUCCCUCAAUUUCACUGUUUGCCGCCACCUUCCCAGGGUACACAGCGAGUGGGAACACGUUUUGCCUCCGACGUCGCCGCCUCCUGGCUACAGGAGCGCCGCCGCCCUGCUCGCCUCCCCUCUCCCUCCUCUCGCCUCUCUGAAAGAAGAAAGAAGAACGGAGGGAGGAAGGAGCAGAGAACGAGAGAUAAAAAAAAAUACUGACAGGUGGGUCUCUGGACAGUGCAUUUUUUCUAAAUUUCAUCCGUCUUUUUUUUCGCCGUUUUUCCUUCUUCUUUUUUUUCCAUUUUUCUUUUUUUUCUCCGUUUGUUUUUUUUCCUUUCUUUCUGUUCGCUUUUUUUUAUCCGUCUAUUUUUUUCUUUCUUUCUGUCUUUUUUUCGCCCUUUUUCUUUUUUUUCUUAUUUUCUGUUUGUCGUCCAUCUAUCUUUUUCGCUGUUAUUUUAUCGGUCUUUUUUCACUUCUUUUUCUGUCCACGUUUUUUAAAACUUUUUUUCGUCGCCUUUUUUCCGGGUUUUUUCAUCCGCUUUUUUCUUCGACCGAAUUUAACGGGAGGAUCGAUUUUGGCAUGUACGGACAUGAGAUUAUCUUCCGGUGGUUGAAGAUGGCAAUCGACUAUGCGAGUUGGAUCUAUAUCACGGGGGAUCGCUAACUAGCGAUUGAUUGUCCCAGGCAAUCGUUUUUUUCACCACUUUUUCUUUUCUUCACCAUAUAGUUUUUUUAGUUUAUAUAUCCAAAGUUUAUACAUAUAGGGUUUACACAUCUUUUAUAGGUCAAAAGUUGAUAUACCGAUUUAAAUUUGAAUUUGAAUUCAAAUACAAUUAAAGAUGAAUUUGAAUCUGAUAUAUAAACUUUUGACUUAUAAAUUUUAGGUCUACAAACUUUAGGGGUAUAAAUUUUAGAUGUGUAAACUUGAUUUAUUGAAAUUUGAAUUUGAAUUUAAAUACGUUUAAAGAUGAAUUUGAAUCUGAUAUAUAAACUUUUGACUUAUAAAUUUUAGGUGUACAAACUUUAGGUAUAUAAAUUUUAGAUGUGUAAACUUGAUAUGUAUAAAGUUAGUAAAACAGAAAAGUAGAGCGGUGCAAAAAAAAAUAUCGCGUGGGGCAAGGGAACCGAUCGCGCCAUAGGAGUUUCGUAUAGCUCCACUUGUGAGUUGGGUCAAGAGGCAGGCUUGUGGAUUGGGUCAAGAGGCAGGCCAAAUAAAACGAUGUAGCGGGCUCGGCUGAGAUUGAAAAGUAAGGAAUGAAUGAAUUUUUGGUUCAAAACCAAAGAGUAAAAUGUACGAUAAUAAAAAAAAGGAUGAAAUAAACUUUUGGUCUAAAACCAAAGAAUAAAAUGUACAAGUAAUCCAAAAAUAUUUUACCCGUGCAACGUAUGAGCAUGUUUUCUAGUACUACAUUAAUCUUCAAAGGAGUGGCACACUGGCACAAUACACGGACGAUUAUAAUUUCUCAGUAAAAAAGAGGCCAUUCCACUCCAGUAUAAUCUUCAAAUGAGUGGCACAAUUCAAACGCACCCCCAUCCUUCAUUACGGCUCCAUUUGCUCAAGAAACACGCGUUCAAGGUCACCGGCCAUGGCAGCUCGUACGGAUACGUCACUACACCACCGGCGUGGUGCUUGGGCUCAUCGAUCUUCAUGGUGGCGAGCUCGAUGGAGAUCACCCGCCGCCGCCGCCGCCGCUUGUCCACCUCCGCCGGCGCCAGGAGGACGCGUCCUGCUCCGGCGUCGGCGAUCACCGCAUUAUUACCAGCGAUGAUGAAGCUCUCCGGCGCCGUGUGCGCCGGUAGCUGGAGGCGCUUCUCCAUCCACCACUGCUCCCUGCGACGGGCGAAGACCGAGGGGACGCCGCUCAUCAACCAGGCAAUGCGCACGUCGCCGUCGGCGCCGGCGACGACCCGGAACGCCGACGACGUGCCGUCGUCGCGCCGCCGGGCGCCCUUCAUCGCCUCCGGAAGCGCCACCCGCGAGAACGUGCUGUAACUGUAAGUGUAACAACUAUGAACAAGCAUGCGGUCGCCGUCGUCGUCCAUCCGCCAGUAGAAGCCGCCCGAUGCACGCCCCACGAAGUGGACGGACUCCGCGCCGGAGAUGUGCACGCCGGUGGCCCUGCCCGCGAGACGCCAGCGGCUCCAGGGGCGGUCGCAGGGCCAGGGCCACCUCUCGGAGCCGAAGACGAACGCCGUGGCGGUGCCGAGGUCGGCGGACACGCCGGCGUACCCCUCUUAGAGGGCGACGAACACCUUGAGAGUGGGCACGGGCAUCCGGCUGCAGACGUGGUGGUAGUGGUCGCGGCGCAGGAACGCGCCGAUGCAGCGGUGGUGUUUCAUCUCCUCCAGGCGAGGGAUCAGCCGGUACCGCCGCGUCAGGGGCUCGCAGACGACGAGGUCCGGGAAGCAAUGGCGCAUCCAGCCGGACUUCCUCUUGGCGAGGAGGAGGAGGCUGCCGCUGCUGUCGACGAGCCGCCAUGAAUCGCUGUCCGGGAGGAAGCCGAGGGAGAAGUGGCGGCCGUCGACGCGGGGCUGGAGGGAGGGAGAGGCCGACGGAACGAAGACUGCGCCGCCGCUGCCGCGUCCGGGGUAGUAGUAGUGGCCGACGAUGGGGUUGCGGCCGCGGCGGUGGAACUCGACCGCACGGCAGGGGGAGCCGCCGCCGGCGCCGAUGAUGCGGCGCCACCGCUUGCAGGUGGCGGCCGCGCGGAUGAACCAGUGCGGCGACGCGAGGCGGACGAGGACGCGCGUGAGGAGAGCGUCGUCGAGGUCGUCCACGGUCGUCGCACGGCGGCGCAGCGGCCUCCUCGUGGACGCCGCCGCCAUCUCGCGACGCCGCCCCUGACCUCCCGCGCGUGGUACCCGGGGGGUUUUGGUGCGCUUUGCUGUAAUUUCCAUUCAGUUACGCACUGAUCACGGAGUCUUUGUUACAGGAUUUUUUUUGUGGUUUUUAGAGAGAAACUGAUCAAAUUUGGAUGAACGAUUCGAUUACAACGAAAUUUAUUUGAACCUCCGAGCAAUGAAGAUUGAAGGAACAAAAUCUGAUAUCGACAAUUGGCAUUUCUUUCAUUGAUGCAAUGGUUAAACUUAGAGUAAAUUUCACAAAACUACAGAUACUAUGACCAAACUAUCACAAAACUAUAGAUUUAAGGAGUUGUAUCACAAAACUACACAUUUAGCACCAAAUUUAUCACAAAACUACAUAUUUAAGAUGAAGUGUCACAAAACUACAUGUUUAGUAACUAAAUUAUAAUAAAAUUAUAGGUUUAGAACCAAUUUAAUCACAAAGUAAUAAUGUUUAUAGCUCCACCAUAACAAUAGUGCUAGGGAUUUAAACUCUAAAAGUUGUAGUUUUGUGAUAAGUUCAAUAUUAAAUAUGCAUUUUUGUGAUACUUAACCUAAAAUCUGUAGUUUUGUGAUAAAUUUGAUGCUAAAUGUGUAGUUUUGUGAUACAACUCCUUAAAUCUGUAGUUUUGUGAUAAUUUGGUUAAAAUACCUGUAGUUUUGUGAAAUUUACUCUUAAACUUAAGAUUGCAAUGAUCAGUACUAUGCCUUGGGUGGAGAAGUGCGUUGGAUAUCUCCAUAUUUGCAGGCAUCGAGUUCAGCCUUCGUUUGAAGUAUUAUUCGGCAUCUGAUCAACGAGUGCGAAGACGUCUUGUGGAUCAGGCACCAGGAUGUGAUGUCUUUUCGUCGUUUAUUCCUUGUCGGCGUCUGGCUACUAGACAGGGGUGAAGCCAUUUAUAGUUAAGAGGGUGUGGGCAGGGCGAAAAAGUCAUAAGUAAGAGUAAGCAAUGCUAACGAUAAAACAAGACAUCAUGUGUUCUGCCAUAAAAAAAGCUUGAAUUUAGCUCUUUAGUUGUAUCAUUUGAUAUUUGACAGUUUGAGACUUGAGACACCAUGCUCGACAGCGAGACGCAAUGGGAGGACGGAGAGAGUGUGAAGCCAAAGCAAUGAAGACGAGGAGUUGAUUUACGUUGUCUCUCCGUCUCUUUCUUAUUAAUUAAUUUUCUAUAUCAUGUUUAUUGAUAAUGGACUAAAAAACAUGCUAAUGUGCUAGUUAGUACAGCAGGGAGGAUGGUCGGAUAGGGGGGUGUUGGCCCCCUCCAGCACCCUCCGUAGCUGCGCCCCUGCUCCUAUAGAUUACUUGAGAGUUUGCUGCCUUAGGAGGUCCUCGAGAAAAUGAUGUCGUCAGCACCUUCCUCUUAGAUUGGUUGAGAGAGGUAGUCGACUGAGGAUUGUUCUCCGUCAACUUAGUCGAUGCUAUCUCGAUCUCAGUGGUUGUUGGGUAAGGAGAGAUCGGCACGACUGCGUAGAUGGGGAAGAUGAUGAUCCGACUUGCAUUCAUGUAAAUGCAUGUUGCCUUGGAUCUCCCAAGCUUGGACGGUUGCGGAUGUUCUCGUCAGAAAAUCUUGAGCUUGAAGCCAUCUUGUCCAAACCUUUUGCACCAAAUCCUACUACUUGGCGCACUACUGUCGAUGGGUUAUAUCGCAACUACGAUAUUCAGAAGUAUCAGGGAACGAUGGUGCUAAGGUCUAUAUGAAACUGUAUCAAGCAAAGAAGGACAAAGAUUUAUAUUGGUUCAGACCCCUCGUAAGAUAAUAGCCCUAAUUUUGUUUACAUGCGAUUAUGGAUGAGAAUUCCAAAAAAAAAUUACAAUGGGAAUAAACUAACUACCCUAAUCCGUCGUCUAGGAUCCGCCGAGAACAGCUUAGCGAGAUCUAGUAGACAAACACGGCUUCAGCUUCCUUCGGUGUAUCUCAAUGUGGUUGGUGGCUACGGCUUAUAAUUCAAUGAUCCUCCCUGAGCAAGGGGUCCUUGUAUUUAUAGCAUGGACUGUCUUCUUCUCUAAGUAGAACUCGGAGAGUCGCGGUUGAACACGAGACGAAGGAGACCUUAUCUCAUCCGAGUAGGACUUUGACACAUUCUACUCGCGAAGAUAAUUUCCUUCCUAUCACCAUAUUUCCUUACUAUAAUAUCACCUUGUUGAUGCGAAAAACACACACUGGCCUGGAAGAUCUGCUUAACUUCAGUACAGGUCCAAAAAUCUUACCUUUAGGUUCGUGAGUGUGCCAAUUGAUUUGAUCCUGCAAUCAACAAGAAAUAAAGACAGAAAAAAAGUGGUUAAAUCCAUAAAUGAUAGCCGAUCGGCCAGUCGCCGAUGACAUAUCAUUUAUCUUUGAGCCGAUAUCAUAUUUGAAUCGAUCGACAGUUAUAAAUAGGCAAGAAAGAACUAAAUCUAUUCGAUCGGUUGUAGAUAUUAACGGUAUAUAAUACUUCUGUCGAUAUAUACUUAAAUCAAGUGAUUAGAAUAGAUCGGUCGUCAUGCCAAGAUAGUAUGAUUCACUUAGAUCGAAAUAUACAUUAACAAGGAGAUUAUAAGCAUUCAUAACAUAGCCAAUCGGAUGGAUUCAGCAUGUAUCGGCUAAUACUCCGAUAUUACUCUAUAUUAAGAUAUUAAAACAAGCAAAAAUAUCAAAAAAGAAGCUUAAUAUACCUAAAUGCAACAAGAUCUUAACAUAAAGGGCAGAUUUAACAUAUCAAUCAAGCAUAUAGGAUAUAAAGUAGUUAAAUCAGGUAAGAUCGGCUGAAACCCCGAUGAAACCCUAAUCGGCAACAAAAAGCAGGCUAGAGAUUGAGAUUCUAAUCACGACUUAUAAGGUCAAACUCAACUGAUGCAGCUAUAAGUAUGAAAAGAAUGACAAUAUCUAGACAAUCAAGCCGUUGAAUGUUUCAUAGGGUGGUGGAUACCCUAUAUAAUCUAGGUCAAUGUUAAUAUUUAACCUAAUCGGUUGCCUUCCAGUAAUAGAUGUUAGUUGAUUGAGGAUUAAAUAACAAUAUUGCCAGAGAUUGUAUAGGAUAUAUGAUAACUCGACGAUUUACAUAAACAGGAUUAGAGUGUUAUAAAGAUGGAAGUACUAAUCCCGAGAACGCAAGCCGUCAUGACAAGUUUACCUCUAGUUGGAGAUCGAAACGAUGCAGCUCAACCCGAAAGCAAGAACUCGUCGAGAUGAAAUGAAAGUAAAAAGGGUGGCGAUGCGCUGAGAUUGUAUUGAACGUGUGUUAUUUGAUUACAUGGGUUUGGGUCAUAUUUAUACCCGAAAUACAAAAUAUGUCCUUGUCGGACACGACUCUUAUCUCUAACAAACUCUUAAGAUACCAUAAGUCUUUGCGGCAGACUUUUGCCCAAACUUAUCUCUAAAAAAAUUACAUAAAAUAUCCUAAUUAAUAUAUACAAUUGCCUUUUCAAGACCCAAUCCGUGCGUGGCAAUCCAUAUGAAGCACAUUAACUCAACCCGACGACGUGUACCGAGUCACAUUGUCGGAAUCGGCUCAAUCGGCUACCUUGUCUGACUCGAACUCUGCUGAUUCUGAUCAGAGCUGAUUCAGACUUUAGCCGAUUCUUAUUCUCUUUCCGGAACAAUCUAUCCCUGGGAUUCCGCUUCGAUUUUAUCUUCAUUUCCGAUACUUGAAUUACCAAAUUUGGUUGUUAACACACCUUCGUGUAUAUCUGUAGGUAUAUGGCAUCCAUAUAUUACCACGAACCCACGUAUAGGAGUUAUGCCUUAUCCAUAUCCUGAGAAAUAAAAUGAUGAUUCAAAUGUAAAAGUAAGGUAAUGUGGUAUUUUUGAGCCAAGAAAAACAGGAAGAUAAUUUUAACAUAGAUUAAUCAUCUAAGGACUAAAAACAAUUCAGGUGAUAUGAUUUAAUGAGAGAAGAAAAGGUGAGAGAUAAUUUGGAUCAUAGAUUAAAUAUCUAAGGGAUAAAAACAAUUGAUGUGACAUGGCUUAAUGAGAGAAGAGAUAAAUAACAUUAAGGAAGUGAGGAUAAACUCUAUAGGUGUAUAAGAUACUAAAAAAAUAAUGGAGACAUAUAUUAAAAUGUUAUAUGACUUAUGUGGGAUAAUGAUUUAACAUGCUUUUAUUUUAAAUCUCUAAAAUUUAAUAAAUUAUAGAAUUAUUGAUAAUAUAGCAUGCUCGUAUGUUAUUUAAGAUGUAAUAAUUGUUAGUGGCUUAUGAUGUGGCAUCUUUACAUGUUAAGCUUUAGAAUUUAGUAGGUUGUAAAUUUAUAAUAAGAUGGAAUUGGUACCUGAGUAGAGAUUAUGCUUGAUGAUCCAAUUUUUCAUGAAAAAAAUAGGUGAAUAGCUAAUACGCCCUGAAGUUCCAUUAUAGGAUCAGUUUAGUCUCUGAGGUUUCAAAUCGUCCCAACAAGUUUCUAAAAUUAAUUGUUUGGCUUAACAUAGUCUUUGGACAAACAAAAACACCAUAUAAGCAUGCCACAUCAUCCUCGCAUGCAAGGGCAAUGAUGAAAAUGAGCAUUCUACGUUGGUGUUGCCCUGUGCCGCGGCAAUGCGACUUAACUGGAGCUAUCGUCGUGCAAUGUUGCGAUGACGCGGCCAUCGCUUGCCAGUGCCCAAACCCUAGAUGGAGAAAACAAACCGCGAAUGGGUAAUAACGGGCCGAGUUUAUUUCUGUUGUCUCUUUUUUUUCAUUUACUUUUUCCAUUUUAUUUCCUUUUAAUAUGGUAUAUAAGGGUAGAAUGGUCAUUUCAACCAUAUCCUUGCAUGCGAGGAUGUUAUGGCAUGCUUAUGUGGUAUUUAUUUUUGGGUUUAAGGACUAUAUUAAGCUGAAUAAUUAAUUUUGAGGUCUUGUUUAGAUUAUUUGAAACCUCAUAGACUAAGGCUCAGUUAGUGUCUUCUAUAGAUAAAGAUUAAAAGCGAGUAUGCAAAACGAGAAAACCAUUAACGCAUAAUUAAUUAAGUUUUAAUUAUUAUAAACUUGAAAAAUGAAUUUAUCUGAUAUUUUAAAGCAACUUAUAUAUAGAAGGUUUUCGCAUAAAAUGCACUGUUUAGCAGUUUGAAAAGCGUGUUAACGGAAAACGAGGAAAAAUAUGUAUCUUACAAAGUUAGAAAGGGCCUAAACUGAUCUUGGACUGAAUUGACUAUUAAAAAAAUAAUCCCUAAAAUAGAUUAGUUCUCGUUCUGUUAUGCAUAGAGGUGCCCUUGUAAGAUUCAAUGUUGCAAAAAGCAGAACAUUUCUGAAAUAUCCACUAAAAAAAUCUGAAAUCGGGAAUUUUCACCAUAUAUCGUGUAGAAAUUUUGAACAUUUUUUUCUAUAUGAUUAAAAUCAUAUAUUUUUGGUUAAGGAAAUGGGGAAGUAUGUGGAGUAACUUUGAUAACCACAAAUUCCGUCUCCUCAGUGAGGAAAAACUAAAAAAAAAAGAGAGACAAAGUCGCAUGUAUAAAGUCUUCUUUCUCUGUUUUAACUUGUAUAGGUGAAUUUAAAUAUGGAUGUUUACUAUAAGUGAUGUACCUCAUCCUCCUUCCGUUGUAAAAUAAUUUACAACAGGUACUAUUAAUUUUCUCACUUAAACCACUCGUUUUUUAUUUCAAAGCUUUCCAACACUAAAAAAGGUGUUGUACUUUUAAAGUGUAAUGUCAUAAAUAUAAGCAUAUAUUUUUUUUCAAUUUAGUGUAACAAUCUAAGACGAAAUAGUGGUUAAAAUAGCAAAGUUAAAGCUGUUAGUUAUUUUAAAAUGGAGGGAGUAAUUAUCUACCAUUUCUGUUUCAAAAACUAUACAAAAUAGUACUUCUCCAUCCACAAAAGUUACACAUAUUUCAUAUUUUGAGUUUUUCCAAAUAAGUUGUUUCUAUUUGUAGUCUUUAUGUAUUCAAACUUAAGAGAUAAAUUAAGUGUUUUAUUAGAACUCAAAUAGUCAUCUAAAUACUCAUUGGUUACAUGUAUGUAUUCACUUAUUGAUUUUGUAAUAUCUAAGGUGAUUUAAUUUUUUUCUUAAUCUUAGUGUCAAAAGUAAUAUAUGUAACUUUCGUGGAUGGAGGGAGUACGUGACAUGGAAAUAACGAGUGUAUUUAAGGGAAUCACCUUGAUACUAAUAUAUACCCGUGGAAUUAAUUUACCGUGUGCUAUCUAUCUAUCUAUCUAUCUAUCUAUCUAUCUAUUAUAUACUAAAAGUCCAUAAAACUUCCUACAAACGCUCAUAAGUCGCCACGUGGCACUCCUACAAACGCUCCUAAACCGCCGCAUGGCACUUUUAAUCUAACCGUCGAUUUUCACUUAAAUUGGUGGACCCACUAUUCUAGACCAUUAGAUUAGAUCUAUUUAGAAAAGUCCCAGCUUCAUCGAAAUUAUUUACCAGAAAAAUUCAAAAAUUAAUGUACACACCGGAUAUAAACCUUCCGUAUUGUUCUCUUAAAAAAACCAAACACACGUGCGUACGUACAAAGAUUAAAAAAAAAUCAAAAAACCAUAUGUAUGCCGUAAGAACAAUACAGUCUUUCGAAUAUAGUGUAGUACGUAUUGUGUAUGCCUUUCUCUGUCUUUUAUUUAUCAACGAACAGCAAGUACAUACUUAAGACUUAUCUAUCUAUCCACGGUCUUUAAAAUAGGAUUUCCUAUAUUAUAAAAUAAAAUUUAUUACUCUACAAAUAUGCACGGUUAAACUAGAUUAAUAUAAAGUACCAAAUCAACUGUAUUUAAAUGUUUAUCUUUUAAAUUAUUUCUCAAAUAUAUAUCUAACUUAUAAUCCUUUGUCUUUCUUUAAUUAAAUAAAAUACUAAUCACUUAUAAUAGUUAUAUGGAACUGCUAAAUUCAUUACGACACAUGGUGCCGACAUAUAAUACGUAAUGUGAUAAUUAUUUUUCAAAUAAUUUAGCUAACAUAUAAUAACUAAUGUCAUGAUCAUUUUUAAAUUAAUUUCACAUGACAAAAAUGAUCAACUUGGUGUCAAAUUCGCUUGACAAAUAUAUAACACUAAUUCAAAUCUACAUGUAGAAAAAGUGAAACAACAUUGUGGUUUACAAUCAGAUUUGAUUUUAUUUUAAUUUAUGUGAUAUUAAGAUUCUAUUUUUUUUAAAAAAAAUAGAACUAUUUGAUGGGAAUUUCCAGGCAAUGACCUUGCUAUAUUACGACCCCUUAAUCCAUCAGGAGAAUUACGGUCAUAUAUGGUUUUUCUUUGCGAAAUUGGUUUGGUAACAAAUGAAAAAUCAUUUGCAUCAAACUAUUCAUCAUAUAUUUUUUAUAGUUUAGAAAUUCUAAUAUAUCAAACAUAAUUGAUAAUGUAUGUCAUACACCCCACUGAAGUAACUAUAAAUGCACUCCAACAAAUUAGUUACUUUAAAUAAUUUUGGAAAAUAUAUUCUUAGAAUAAGUAAAGAUGUCGCAUGUAAUUAUGAACAAUACAUGAAUGAAAACAAACCGAAGCUAAACUAUAUAUCUUAUUCAAAAUAUAAAGAACAAUAUGGUACUCCUAGAUGUCACGGUUGUAUGUCUGUUUAGUUUUUUUUUAUCAACAUUGCUCAUCUGAAAAGAGAAUAUUGUAUCUACACAAUAAAAAAAAUAAGCAUUACUGAUUAAUACCAUGCAUAAUUUUGUCUACACAAAACUUUGAAAAAAUUCACUAGGGAAAUAUUUUCAUCACCUACAUUCCCUCUUUUUCUCCCAUAAAGGGCACCAAGCAUGCUGUGCUACCACAAGUGUAGCAAGGGUCAUACAUAUGGUUGAGUUGAAGCCACCCCAGCAAAGGCCGCUAUUGACAAUACUGCAUAACUUUGUACUUACUGAUGCAAUAAUAUAUGAGGGUGCUAAUAGUGAACUAGACAUUAAAAUUACGCUUCAUGCUGGCAUUGCGGGGCACGACUAUGUCGACUCAGGACCUAUGUUUAAAGGCAGUGGAGAAAUAAAGCCUCGACGGAUACGGUCAGCUUCAACCAUUAAAGGGGACAUUCAUAUCUGAUUUUAACGGUCAUCAAAAUUAAAAAAAAUCUUAUAAGUUAUAAGAAAAAAAAUAUGAUCAUCGGUUUACUUAAAUUAUUUAGAAAAAAAAUAGAAAAAUAAAGUCCCCAAAACCUCGUCCUCCCCGGCACAUGCACAAAACAUUGCUGGUCCCCUUCAACCUUGGCUCAUGCUCUCCGCUCUCCAUUCCUCCCCCUUCCUAUGAAUAAUACUGAAAAGACCUUAUUUUUAAUAUAUACAUAACAUUUCUAAUCUAAUUGUUGAUCUGUUAAAUAAUUAAACCAACAAUUCUUUAUCCAUAAUGCCUAUAAUUUUAAUCUAAAAUAAGACUUGUAUAAAAUAAAAUAGAAAAGUAGAAAAAAAAAGUCAAUAGGGAUUGAAUCAAAUCAAUUAAAGAGAAUAUAGUAAUAAAUUUCUAAAAAAUAGAAAUGCCAUAACCAUCCAUCUAACGUGGUAUUAUGAGUUUCUCAUAUAUUAUUGCAUAUAUAAGACAUACUAAGGUAGUCGGACAUAGUAGUACUUAGUUGGUUAAAAAGUUAUAUAUGUGCUACUAUCAACUUUAAAUUUAGGACUCAUGGUGCCUAGGUAUUUUUUUUAAAAGAACACCAUAAAUCACAUAUAUAAAAGGGAAAGGACGCGUACAAUAUAUAUAUCUCCUAUGUAUUUAUUGUCUCAUUCUUUCAAGAAAAUAAAGAAGAUCAUUGAUAAUUGCUUAUAGUAAUGAAUUAAAUAUUAUAUAGUUCAAACCUUACAAAUAUCUUGUAAAAAAAUAUCUAAGCAAUAGCGAUGAAGAAAAUUUAUAAAGAAAUACUCCCUCCAUCCCAAAUUAUAUCAACUAUAAUCAAACUCGGUAGCUUUUAACUAAUAAUCAUACUAACUAUAUCUAAGUAUUAUGCAUGUUACAUCACUAGAUUUAUAUUUUGAAGUACUUUUAUGUAAUGCUAAUUUUAUAUUUGUUGGGAUAGAAUGGAAUAAAGUACUGGUCAAAAUAUAUUAUUAAAACCUAUGUAAAAAAAAUAUAGGUCUUGUAAUUUGAGACAGAAGGAGUCUUUUUUUUCAAGCAUAUCAGGUAUCGUCCGUUUGAUACUCCAUCAUCCGAUUGAUAUUCCCAGUGUAACCUACUUUACAUGCCCGCGCGAAUGCGCGGGCUACCUUUCUAGUUAUUAUAAAAGAAUCCACAGAGUUUUGAUUGGCAGUUCCGAUGUAAUCCAAAAGUCACCUGCGGACUCACACGAUACUCGACAUCCCCAUCACUCAAUGACCGAGACGAACAUAUACCCGUCGACAAAAUUCCACCGAAAUUUCACGGAACCAUCUAAAAAUCCUGCGAAUCCACCACCCACCGUCUCCGCUCCACGCGUGGCACCCGGCGAAACAAGAGCACCAGAACCCACGAUUCUGUCCCAUCUUUUCCCCUAUUUUCUCCCCCCCUCCGGCACCUCUACACCUGUCCACCCCACCGCGACCCCAUCAAACUCCGCGAUUUCCCACGCAACACCAGCACACACAAUGACACACACAACUAUACGUGUCACCACGGCCCCGUUUGCCGCCAUCGUCCGCCGAGGUCGCCCGCCGCGCCGCUUGACCGCGAGAAACCCCAACCCCCACGGCGCCCUCGCACAUCCCGCGAAUCCCACGGGAAAAAACCCGCGGUUUUCCCCCACCACCACCACGUCGAUGCGUACGCAUCGCGUACGUGCCGUCCCGGCAUGAAAGCUCGUCUUUUGCUGGGUCCCUUCCCGCGCUGUGUGUGUGGAGGACGCGCGCGUGUAAUCUGAGGGGAGCCACACGCGUUAGGUGGGCCGCUUUUGCCGGGGCAGAGGGCAGCCCAAGAGCCAACCCUCCACGGACCCGGAGCCCCAACGUGUCAACGUGUCACGCGACGCGCGGGAGGUCAAACGAAAGAGACACGAGUCGUCGUCUCGACGUCCACGCCAAUUUCCGGCGCUGGCCAAUCGCGGCGCGGCACGCACCCACCCACGUCUUCCCCACCAUGCUUUUCUAAUCCCCACCAAAAAUAUUAAACAAAACCGCAGCAACUUUAGAUUGAAAAAAACGUUGAUUAUUCAGACAUCGAAGACUAGUUGUUGUUGUGGAGUAGUAGUAAUACUAGUAAAAGAUUAUUACUAAUUGCUCAUUCAGAGUACCCGCAAUGGUAAAAUAAUAUGCUAUCUAUAGAACUACAUCUCAGCAAUAGACUAGAUUAAUAGUAAACCACUUCAAUGAUAUGUCUACAUGGGUAUCUAUAGCUCUCUAAUCCAUUGUCUCUUUUUCUCUAUAGACUAUUUCCAGGUUAAUAGAUAGUUUUGCUCUCUCUCUUCAUUUAAUCUCUUCUAAGUAGGAAAAUAUGCUGACAUGGAUCUCUUGUAUAGAGCCUAUAAAUAACCAUUGUGAGUGCCCUUAACACAACUUCGCUUCGUCGAACCGAAGUCCAACCAAACAAUUUCAACUUCAUCUAAAAAAUUAAAGCUAGCUAAAAUACUCUCACAAAAUUAACUAGAGAGAUGUACUUAGGUUUAAACCUACAAUAGAAAGUUAUAAAUCCACUUAAUACAUAGAGAAUAUACAAAAAAUAUAAAGAAUGAUGGUUCUCGUACAAAAGCUAACUUAAUACGUGCUCUAAAACCAAUAUAUUAAUAUAUAAGUGAGAGAGAAGGAUAUGAGAUGAUAAAUUGAAGCUAACCUUAUUGUAAAUAUAUUAUAUAUACGUUAACUUUAAAAUAUGCUAAUAGCUAACAGUGAGCUGUACUAUUAAACUCGCUUCUUAAACAGAUUCACAACUUUAUUUGAAACCCAAAUAUUAGUAAAAUUAAAUUUAGAUGUCUGAGUCUCUACCGAACGAGCUCCAAGUCCAACGGAGACACACACGUUGCAGUAAGGGUGGGCCCCACGGGCGUCCGGACCGUGCGUCGCGUGCGUCGCCGUCGAACACGGCACAGCGACGCGCGUGUCCAAUGGACGGUCGCCACUGCAUUAUUCCGGGUGCGAAUGCGAUUAGAUUAGGAUUUGAUCUCGCGAUUAGAUUGGGCGUGUACUCGUGGUAGUAGCAUUACUACUAGUACGUGGCGACGACGAAUGACAGCGAUAUAUUUUUCUUUUUCUCUUUUGCGUUGGUGGUAGCUUCGUCACGUGUCCGGGCCUGGGUGGGUGGUCGCCGUUUGGUGUGGACGCGAAGGACACGUGUCGCGUGGCGGUGCGCGGCGGGGAGGCGGGACUCGUGGACGGCCCGGAUGCGGCCGAACCCACCACCUGUCGCGGCAUCGACGACUGAUCGCGACGCGAGGCGUCCUUUAUAUUGCGGCCCCGCUUUCGUCUCCGCCUCUCUCAUUCUCUCUCUCGUUGCUCCUGAGAUCGUCUCGUCUCGUGGUGGUGGUGGUGGCCAUUGCCGGAGCUUCCAAGGUGUUUGAUGUCGAUGGCGGAGGUGUGCUGUGAUUCUGCGGUGGUGGUCGGGGCGGAGGCGGAGGCGAGGGCGAGGGCGCGCGCCGGGAGGCGGCGGCGGGCGGGAGUUGAGGGGGCAGGGAGGUGGAACGCCACGGCGACGGCUGCGGGUGUGGCGGCGGAGGAGGCCGCGACGAGGAAGCGGAGGGCGAGUGGUGGUGAGGCCGGGUUGGUGGUGGUGGCGAAGCGGCACGGGGCGGCGUCGGUCGCCGGGAGGAGGAGGGAGAUGGAGGACGCCGUGUCGCUGCGCGAGGCGUUCGCCGCGCCGGCGAACGGGGAGGUUGCGGCGGCGAGGUGUGACUUCUACGGGGUGUUCGACGGGCACGGCUGCUCGCACGUGGCGGACGCGUGCAGGGAGCGGAUGCACGAGCUCGUCGCGGAGGAGAUGGGCGCCGGGUCACCGGCGGCGGCGGCGCGCGAGCCGGCGUCUUGGACGGAGACGAUGGAGCGGAGCUUCGCGAGGAUGGACGCCGAGGUGAUCGCCGGCUGCCGAGCCGAGAGCGGCAGCUGCCGGUGCGAGGGGCAGAAGUGCGACCACGUGGGGUCCACCGCGGUGGUGGCCGUCGUGGAGGAGAGCCGCGUCGUCGUCGCCAACUGCGGCGACUCCCGCGCCGUGCUCUGCCGCGGCGGCGCGCCCGUGCAGCUAUCCUCCGACCACAAGCCCGACCGCCCCGACGAGCUGGAGCGGAUCGAGGCGGCCGGCGGCCGCGUCAUCUUCUGGGAGGGCGCCCGUGUCCUCGGCGUCCUCGCCAUGUCGCGCUCCAUCGGCGACGCCUACCUGAAGCCCUACGUCACCGCCGUGCCGGAGGUGACGGUGACCGGCAGGUCGGACUUCGACGAGUGCCUCAUCCUCGCCAGCGACGGCCUCUGGGACGUCGUCAGCAACGAGGCCGCGUGCGAGGUGGCGCAGUCGUGCCUCCGCCGCGGCAGGCAGCGGUGGUGCGCCGAGGCGGCGGCGGUGCUGACCAAGCUGGCCCUCGCUCGCCGCAGCUCCGACAACAUCUCUGUCGUCGUCGUCGAUCUCCGGCGAGGCAACGCCUUGUAGAGAGAGUGUCACCCAGCUGAUGCUGUAGCAUCAGUACUAGUAUUGCAGAUAUUAGCUAAGCUAAUGGUUCUACUAAUCUUUUUUUUUCAUUUCCCUUGUGUUAAAAAUCAUUUUUUUUCUCUUCUAAUUUUCUCCCUGAAUUAACCAAGUUCAGUGGAGCACAUAGAUCAGGUGAUGGGGUUGUGCAACUGCUAGUUGGUGUAACCAGAAUUUCAUCUGGAUACCAACUGAAAUGAAAUGAAUAUUAAGCAAGAUUAUUUGAGAAGGAAGUUUAAACCAUGGGAUUUUUGUUAGGCAAAUCACCUUUUUACUUAUUGAAUUACUGUUUCUGCUGUGGUUCAGACUGUACCACUUGGGGCCUGUUCCCUUUGGUGCUAUUUUCAACCUUACCAAAUUUUGGUAAAGUUGCCAAAAAAAAUGGCUAUAUUUAGUUUGCUGUCAAAUUUUGGUAACUAUAUAAGUAAUCCUGCGAAAACUUGCCAUCCUAUAGUUGCCAAAACUUGCCAUCCUAAUUAAUUACUCUGCAUCUUGCAAUCAUGCAAUCUUGAUGAUAUGAUUGCACGAUAUUUUCCUCUGCCGUCCCGGACUCAAAUUCAAUUAAAAUAACAUCUCUGAAUUGAUUGGGGAUACAAAGGACAAAAUAAAAUUCCAGGGUUCAUCAGAGAAGCACCAAGGGAACAUUAUCCUCAAUUUUCAAUUAUACUACUGUAAUUUCUCAUGUUUAUGUCAGUGACAAGAUUCAGAACAUUCCAAACGAAAUUUAACACAUCAGAUAUUUUUUUCUGUGCGCGAUUCGUCUGGAAGGAGAACAUCUACUAUAGUAUCUAAUACAUCUUCUUCAUCAGUCAGAAAAUCUCAAAUCACACACCAACACUUGCGCGGUCCAGCUAACCCUGCUCUGUGGCUGCCUGCCUCCUGUCCCAGCAAGAAGCAAGAUUCUCUCAUUUUUCUCUCACGAGAGAUCUGCCAAUGCACAGCUCAACGAUUCUCAGCAAUCUCUCAACUCCCUUUUCUAAAGCGAAAUUAGUACUAUCAAGCAUCAACAUAGGCUGAUGUGAUUAGACCAGAAAGGGAUUACAAAAUUGGCCACUCCAAACAUGCUAACAUGCUGCUAACCCUGAUUUAUGGACGGGUUUGUUGCUCCAGCAGACAAAGAAAAUCUUUUGCUUAGCCACUAAUAAAGAGAGUUUAGAGAGUAGGGUAGAGAUUGCAAGCAACAUUGGUGAAUGAAGUGAUUUGGUGAGGCUACGAGGGAGAUGUGGUGGCAGACAUGGGGGUUAGUCGCCGGAGGUGUGGCGUGUCGACACGUACGCAGUAUGUCGAGAAGAUCGGGCAGGAUUGUGCAAUCUGCGGGCAGAUCACAGAUCCGGUUCAAUCUUCACCGUGUUUAUUACUCUCUCUGUUUCUACAUAGUUGAUACCGUUGAUUUUUUACACAUGUUUAACCGUUCGUCUUAUUCAAAUUAUUUGUGAAAUAUGUAAAACUAUAUGUAUAUAUAUAAGUAUAUUUAACAAUGAAUCAAAUGAUAGAAAAAAAUUAAUAAUUACUUAAAUUUUUUGAAUAAGGCGAAUGUUCAAACAUAUUUAAAAAAAUUAACGGCGUCAAAUAUUUAGAAACGGAUGGAGUAAUUUGGUAAAUUUUAUUAUAGCACAUGGUGAGUGGUGACUUCGCACGAAACCAUUUUUAGGGAACACACUAUAAAAAUAUGGUUAUUUAUCAGGAGACAAUUGAUUAAAUUAAUGGUAGGGGUACCACUUUUUUACAUGACUUCACUAGAUUGCUCAUUCUUUCUCUUUAUCUUCCUAUCUUCUUCGUUAUCUCUUCCCCUCUCUCCCUCAUUUCUCUCUUCUCCAGCGAGUUUGUCUACAUGUGGCUGGCUAGCGGCACUGCUUUCCCUCCACCUUGCAACCUCACGCACUGAUCCUACUCGGAUCCUCUCCUCCUCACUGAUGCCUCUCCUGUCCUCGAGCGGUUGGUUGAUCGAUCGAUCAGCACGGUUCUUCGCCAGCCAUGACGGCGGCGGCGAUGGCGCCCUCACCUCCGAAGCCGGUGUCCCCGAGGCAGAUCAGCCUGGGGGACCUCAGGGCGGUGUCCAUGCUCGGCCGAAGCGUCAAGGGCGUCGUAUUCCACGUUGUGCCCACCAUGGCGGGGGAGGUGGAAGGGGUUGUUUCCUCAUCCAUGGCACUCAAGGCGAUCUCGCGGGAGACGGAGCAACACAAGAAGAUGGGGAGCGGCGGCGAGGACAGGCACCGGCGGAUCUGGUUCGAGUGGGAUGUGCUCAUGUCGCUGAGCCACCCGCUGCUCCCUUCACUCCGCGGUGUCCUCGCCACCGAUGUCGUUGUCGGGUUGGUCAUCGACCGCUACGGCGGAAGAGACCUCAACUCGCUCUGACGCCGCCAGACCAAGAAGAUGGCUUCAGGCCAAGCUGGUGGCGGCUAAGAACCGCCACGCCACAACGGUGGCCGAGAUACCGCCGCUCAAGUCUACCGUCGAGCUGACGAAUGACGCCAUCGUCGCGAGGAUGGAGGCGGGGAAGAAGCGGGCGGUGGUGGAGGUGCUCCACCGGCGCAUUGACCGCGAGCGUGACGACCCGCGGCGGCUGCGGUCAGAGGUCGCACUGGAGCAGAUGGUGCUCGUCCGGCACCAGGUCGCUCACGCGCUGCAGUUGGCCGAGCGCGCCGUGGCGGCGGAGACCCACGGGUUGGCUUUGGCGUGAUCAGCGGUCGCCACUACCGAGCAGGCCGCGCGUGCUCUAGUCAGCGACGUCGAUGUUGAUGUCGACGCGGCCCACCACAAUGUCGUGGCGGUCCCAACGCGGAGGCCGGAGGAGUUGCGCGGGGGCGUGGAGGGCGAGGAGAGAACGGCCGAGUUUCACGUCGAGGAGAUUGUGGCCGCCAUAAGGUUGGCCGAGGCGCACGCCAGGAAGCAGGAAGCUGCUGAGCAAUGGCACGGCCGUGACCUUGAAGUCGUGAUGUUCUGCAACAAAAUUUGCAUAUUAAUUUUUGUGGCUAAAUCCUGCUCAAUUUGAAUAUGCGAGCAAAUAAAAGAAGAUCAGAAUUCCUGCUGAAUCUGCAAAGAGCAAAUCACAAAAAUGUUCUACAUAAAAUAUGUAGAGUGAGAGCAAUUUUUCAAAAAAAAAGAAAUACAAAUCCAGCUCACUAUGCGGUGAGCAAAUCAAAAAAAUGCUCAAAAAAAAUGCAAACUUAGAGCAGAUAGGGGAAAAUAAUCGCAAAUCCCCCUCAAUCUGCAGCGUGCGAAUAACGAAAUAUUCUCAAAUCUGCGGAGCAAAUCAAAAAAUUAUAACGUGUAAAAUCACAAAUCCUCCUCAAUCUGAAUAUUUUGUAAAAUCACAAAUCCCACUCAAUCCGCAAAAUAAUAUUUUGUAAAAUCACAAAUCCUAGUCAAUCUGCAGCCAAAAAUGAUCUUCAAAAAUCGAAUGCAGCCAAAAAUGAUCUGAGUCUUCAGCAAAAUAAUAUUUUGUAAAAUCACAAAUCCUAGUCAAUCUGCAGCCAAAAAUGAUCUUCAAAAAUCGAAUAUUAAUUGUGUCUGAGCCCAGUUAAUUCAAAAAUCGAAAAAUUAUAUGUCAAUCUGCAGCCAAAAAUGAUCUUCAAAAAUCGAAUAAUAUUUUGUAAAAUCACAAAUCCUAGUCAAUCUGCAGCCAAAAAUGAUCUUCAAAAAUCUGCAGCCAAAAAUGAUCUUCAAAAAUCGAAAAAUUAUGUGUCUGAGCCCAGGUUCGAACUGGGGACCUUUAGUGUGUGAGACUAACGUGAUAACCAACUACACCACCCAGACCAUGUGACUGAAAGUAAAAGAUUAUUGUAAUUUUGUAAGAAAAGUUUUGUUGUUCUGUAAGUAACAAAUCUAUACAAAGUUUGGUUUGCACAAAAUCUACAAAGUUUCAUACUUUUUACUAUUAGUGGCACGUCCCAAUCCCAACACGAGAAAAUCAUUUUCUAUGAAAAAAGAAGUCAAUUUUACUCCCUCCAACUAUUUGUCAUGCCCUUAACCACCUAAACAAUUCUCUCUCAUUUUACACCAUGAGCUAGUAAAAAUAAUUCAUCUCAUUGUCCUACAACAAUUCUCUUUCUUUUUUUCUAUUUCUACGUAGUGACUUCAUCAAUGUUAAGAUAUGCCAGCUCAGUCUUUGGAGAUGCUUACAGGGGUAGAAUGUGCGUGUACGCGUUCAUAGAGGUGAGUAUGCGUGUGGUGUAUGGACGUUUGCGUUGUACUGUGUUUCAAAAAACAAGAAUAUAUCAUGUGCACAUAGGUUUACGUGCACAUUUCACGCAGAGUAAGCAGCAUGUCAAAAAGAUUGGGCAGGAUUGCUAUCCGUGAGCAAACCUUAAAUCAUGCUCAAUAUGAAUAUGAAAGAGAAUUAGAAAAAAAAAAACGAAAUCCUGCUCAAUCUGCGGAGAGCAAAUCACAAAAAUGCUCAACACAAGAAAAUGCAAAUGGAGAGCAAAUAAAAAAAUCGCAAAUCCUUCUCAAUCUGCAUCGAACAAAUAAAAAAAACAUCCAACAAAAUUAGCAAGAUACCAAAAAAUUAACAUCCAACAAAACUCUAAAAAUAAAAAUUUAGCAAGUCACCAGAAAAUUAAGGCAAAAUUUGCUACAGGACACUCACAGAUUGUGGCAUUUGCUGUGGACACCCAAAAAUCGUGUAUUUGCUUGUGGACACUGUAAAAAUAUGGUAAUUAGCUGUUGGACACUUAAGGCAUUAUUCUAUUAUUUUCGGUGAAAACAGAGAGAGAAAGAGUGUUGAAAGUACCAAAAUGCCCCUGACACUGUUCUUCUUUCUUUUCCCUUUCCUGCCUCUGACACGGGUCGCGUUCUUCGCUGUAGGUGGCGGCGCCGUGUGGGAGGUGCUGCUCACGCGGUGGGAGGGGCGGGACGACCAGGUGCUGCUGUACGGUCUCCUCCCAGCAGGGGUGGACCACGGCGAGCUCAUGGGCAGAGCGCGGUUCUGCCUGUGCCCGACCGGCGACGACUAGGGCGCGGCCGCUGCGAGCCGCCGUGUCGUGGAGGCCAUCACGGCGGGUUGCUGCGCUGUGGACAUCGCCGUCUCCUUCCUGCGCCGCCGUCGCCGGUGAGCUCCAAGGCCAAAGCCUUCUUCCCCUCGCGCCACUGCCUCUCUCUCUCUUCCCCAAUUCUGGCCAACGCCGUCCGUUGCCGCAGCGCCACCUCCACGCCAUCACAGAGCCCCGUGCCGCGCCACCGGGUUAGCCUCCAUCUCCUCUUGCUGACGCCGACGCUCGUCGCGGCAGCCAUGCGCCGUCACCGACGAACGCCGCCGCGCCGCCGCCAUGGCAGAGCACGGCCAGGGAGCCAUGGCUACUCUGCCUCCUCCUCCUUCUCUCACAUCUGGUUGCAGCCGGACCUGGUCGGCUUAUACAAAUGGCCCAUGGGCAAAAUUGUCUUUUAUGAAAGUUUCUCUCACCGUUUCAGCCAGAAAUAAUAAAAUAAUGGGAGGAGUGUCCGCCAGCAAAUUACCACAUUUUUUCGGUGUCCAAGAGCAAAUACAUGAUCUUUGGGUGUCUCACAGCAAAGACCACAAUCUUUAAAUGUCCUGUAGCAAAUUUUUCCAAAAAUUAACAUCCAUCAAAACUAAAAAAAAAACAUCCAACAAAAUUUAAAAAAAAGAUAAAAAAAUUGCAAGUCACAAAAAAAACAUCCAACAAAACUUAAAAUAAAAUAAAAAAUUACAAUCCAACGAAACUUAAAAUUAAAAAAAUGUCCAACAAAACUAAAAAAAGUUAACAAGUCACAAAAAAAUUAACAUCCAACAAAACUUAAAAACUAAAUUAACAUCCAACAAAACUUAAAAUAAAAUAUGCGUCCAACAAAACUUAAAAAGUUAAAAUAAAUAAAAACUAAAUUAACAUCCAACAAAACUUAAAAUAAAAUAUGCGUCCAACAAAACUUAAAAAGUUAAAAUAAAAAUAAUUUGUCUGAGCCCAGGUUCGAACUGGGGACCUUUAGUGUGUGAGACUAACGUGAUAACCAACUACACCACCCAGACAUUGUGAUUGAAGAAAAAAAUAUUGAUGUAAUAUUGUAAUUACAAAGAAUAAUCUACCAACUGUAAAGAACGGAGAGAAUACUGGAGCUCAUAUAAUUUCUGUUGUUCUGUAAGAAACAAAUCUGUAAAAAAUUUUAUUGGCUCAAAAUGCAUACAAAUUUUCAGACUUUGAUUACUCGUGAGUCGUGACACGUCCAACACGAGAAAAUCGUUUUCGCUGAUCAGUCCUGUCCAGGGCCCAAAAGUGCUGAACCAGCUGAUUCGCCCAUAGAGGCCCACAACGCCCACUACCAAAUCAGAAAAAUACACUACUCUGCUUCAUAAAUGGACUAAUAUCUUCUGAUUAUUAGGACUGCUCAGAAAUAAUCCCAGCAUGCAAUUUUCUGCAUCAGCUUUUCACCUUUGGUAAUCUUGUCUAUAGAGGCAGAUAAAGUUCCCUCUGAUCUUUAUGAACUGUUUUGUAUGCCAUUCAAUGAGGUUCAACUUUUCAACCGAAGUACUCCACUUCCUACACUAAUUCAUAUACGCACAAAUAUAAAUUCAAACAUCUACUACUUGGUAACAUUUGACUAAUAAUUAUGGGGAAAUAUCCUGGGAAAACCAUCAAAUAAGUGAAAACCUAUGAAAAACAUACCUAAAAAAUCUCUAAAUUAAUAAAAGUAUUAGUAGAGAUAUGUAUAGGCAUGAAAUACUUUCAUGUCAAAUCUCAAGUCCAAACUCAACUUCCUCUGAGAGUUACUCCCAAAUAAAGUUAAGUUUGAAUUUAAGAUUUGGUACAAAUCAUGCAUAUACUUCUCUCCAAUAAUUUUUCAUGAAUUUAGAAAACUUAUAAAUAUAGUUUUCAUGGGUUUUCACCAUAUAUGUCCCCAAUAAUACCCUAACAAAUUAUAAGUUUACAGUUAUAAAAGUGGUACAGUUCGAUUCAUAUUUUAAACUCAUUUCACACGAUGUUAAUUUCGUAAUUGUUGAUAAAUGUCUCAUGGAAAAGGAAUAUGGGCCCAGCGAAAAAAAGUAAUAUUGCAAAAAUUGAAGCAUGGCUGAUGUGAUACUGUAGGAGAUGCACAUUUGGAGUGGGCCAAGUCAUUGGAUUAGCAAAAGGGAAAGAGGGAAAGGUCAUUGUUUCUAUGAAUAUGAUAGCAAGCAACUAAGCAAGUGCUCCAACAGUUGCUUUUCUUCUCACUUGUACAAUCCUACUACAUCACAACCCCCUGAUGGUUCCUUCUCUUUUUCUACUUUUUUCUUGUUUCGUUUUGUGUUGGAUUUCACCAUCAUAAGGGUGGGCAAUGACAGGAUUCCGCGCCGACACCCGCGUCCUAUUGGCUGCCAUGGAGACUUAAAUUGGCAGCUCCAAGAACCCUAGUGGUGCAGACAAGACUUUUAUCAGGAGGAAAUUCUUGGAGCCCACAGGCAUGCAGCUCUGAAUUUAUCAUCUUGGGGACUCCAUGAGUGUCAUCUCAAUUGGGGUCCAUGCAGAUUUUGCAUUCAUGAGAACAAAUAGCACAUUUGAGUUGAUUUUGUGAAGAUUUGACAUGUUACACUUGUACUAAUGCAUAGGGGAAACAAAAAAACUCAAUUUGCUCAGUACUCCAUGUAUAUGAAUAUGAUCUGGAUAUCAAGUGAAUGCAAAUAUUGUGAUCAUGAUCUCGGAGUAAUUUAAUUCACACAUUUGAGUAGUUGUGCUAAGAUAGCUGUAAUCUGUAUAAAAGGAUCAUCCAGGAUUCAAAUGCUAGAACAGUACGGAAACUAUGGAAAUCAACAUAGGAGUAGAACAUAAGAAGCUACUACCUCCCUCCUAAAAUAAAACAACUUUUAGUUAUAAAUCUAAAAAAAUGUACAGCUAUAUUCUAAGACGGAGGUAAUAAUAAAUAGUAUUAGUAAGACAACAAGGACAUCAUAUAACUCAAUAUGAGAAGCAGCGAAAAUUGGAUCCAUUUGUCCUGCUAAGGCUUGAUGAAUCACUGGGACCCAUUUAGGUGUCCUACGUUUUCUCUGGACAUAUGAUUCAAAAAUAUCGAGGUGCAUUCAGUGAAGUUUCGGCUGUACUAAUUACAUCUUUCAUGUCCUUGCUAUGCUUCAUUUCACCAUAUAAAAAGAACAGUGUAUUCAUCCUCGCAAAAAAACAAAAGAAGUAAAGAACGAGAGUAAAAGGAGUAACUUACAAUUUGGACUAGGGGGUAGGAGUUCACAAAUACAAGAGAAAUAAUCGGAGCUUCAGACACGGCAAAAAUUUGGACUAGGGGGUGGGAGUUCACAAAUACAUCAGGCAUAGUUACUUUAUGUUUUUCAGAUAACGUAUCAAAGAUUCAAAAUUUAUGUGAUACUCCAUACUCAACUUUGCCAAAAGGCACGUGCAAGAUAUAGUUCUCUGGCCCACAACAAAAUAGUCUCAGUAGCAGAGCAAUGAUUUCUGAACUGCGGAAGCUGGUGAAAAAACAGCUUCUUUUGAUGACUAGUGGCAGUGCAUUGUGCAGCUUCUGUUCAUUCUGUUCCUAUUGCAGCAGCCAGUCUCUGCUUGUCUGAAUGUGAUUCACUGCAGCAAUGUCUGCUUACAAGGACAAACAGGAGAAACAAAAGCAGCAGCCAAAAGGGAAAGAAGAAAUUCAGACAACAGAGCCAUUGAAAUUCAAUCACUAUCACAGGUGCCUUUUUGUUACUAGCAUGGUUGCAUUUUUUUUUUGAAGGAAAAAAGAAAGAACAUUUGUACACAAAGCACUGAUUCUGAUGGAAACCCAAUCAUUGUUUGGUACUUGAGCUACUGUAGCAUGAUUUAGAUAAGUCAUGCAAUGGCAAAAAGGUGGACAGCAAAUGUCAAGCGCUAUUUUUCUCCCUAAUCAUGCUGAAGUUCAUGAGUGUCUUGUUGGCUCACUUUGCAUAGCAGCAUCUCCAUAAGAUGUUCCAAAGUAUCUUACUGCGAGAUUGCACCAUGUGGAAAGGUUGCAAAAACAUAACAAGGGCACCUUUCAGGAUCAGAAAUGGACACAGAAAGAUGCAACUAUACUCAAUGAGGAAAAAAAAAGAUUAACUAGUCAUGAACAUCUAAACUUUGCCACACAAAGAUAGUUUGAUAGCAACAUGCACAUUUCAUUCAUGCAGAGCUGAACCCGACUAAAUAUUUCCAACAUUAUUAGGUUAUCAAAAUGCUAAAGUUUCAGAGAUACCUAGCUGCUAUCUGGGGUGCACUUCUUAGGACUGGAUAUAAUUCCAACGGUUUCAAGUACAUUGUCCAAGAAGAGCACAUACUACCGCUAGUAGUAUCAUCCGUUGCCUGAAAUCAUGUGGCAGGGAGCGCCUCCGUAAUCUUCAUCGCCUUCGGUUUGUUCUCUCCCUUGAUGUCAAGCAAGAACUUCACCACAAGCCUCAUCGACGGGCGGUUGUUUGGGAGGUUCUUAACGCAGAGCAGCGCAAUCCUCAGAACUCUACACAUCUCAUCCUUGAAAUGUUCAGCAAUCUUCUCAUCUAGCACUGACUCUGCCCCAUUCUGCUCCACAUUGGUGGCUGCCCAUGCCACCAGGUCCUUGUCACCAAUAUCGGAUGACAUGGGACUCUUUCCAGUAACAAGUUCCAGCAUGACCACACCAAAGCUAUAUACAUCGCUCUUCUCAGUUACACGUAUAGUGUAGGCAUACUCUGCGAUACAAAACAGACAAACACACAUAAGAAACUAGGAAGAAAUUACGGUGACUUAUGACAAUUUUUAGCCAAUUACAACAACCCACAAGUACAAAAAGAAAUCCUAAUCAGAACAUAUGGACCAAAAAAGACUGUCUGAACUGAUCAUCAAAUCAAUCUCAAAAGCUACAUUCAUAUAUACUCUAAUUAGGAACACUUCUCAGAAACAAAUUAGGAACACUUCUCAGAAACAAAUUAGGCAUAAGGAACUCACCAGGAGCAAUGUAUCCACAAGAACCAGCAAUGACAGACAUGGUGGCCGGCCCAUCACCAAUAGACUUCGCGACGCCAAAAUCUGCUAUCUUGGCACGAAAAUCAGCAUCAAGCAGAAUGUUGUUUGACUUCACAUCUCGGUGGAUGAUCGCGGGAACAAAGUCAUGGUGCAAGUAGCUGAGCCCCUCAGCAGCAUCGAGUGCGAUGUUGUACCUCGCAGGCCAAUCCAAGAUGCCAGCUUUGGCACUGUGGAGAAAGUCUCCCAGGCUGCCAUUAGGCAUGAACUCAUAGACAAGCAACCGGCAUGCCUCGUUCGUAAGACAGCAGAAGAGCUUGACAAUGUUCUUGUGCCUAACUUUGCUCAAUGUUUCCACCUCGGCCUCAAAGCUGUCGAUCUUCUUGCUCGCCACCGUGCUACUUGCCCAAAGCUUCUUCACAGCCAAGGUAUCACUCCUAGGCCUGACAACAGCCUUGUACACCAUCCCUGAUGAACCCUUGCCAAUCAAAUUGUUCUCAGUCAGGCUAUUCACAAUGUCCCUCUCAUUGAACUCCACCUUGUGGAAGGAUGUGAGUACCCACUCUGAAUUCUCGCUGUCAACUUCGAUGGCGCGCUUAUUGUAGCUCCUAUACUUGUAAAUGAACCAGGCAACACUCGUGAGUAGAAUGCCAGCAGCAGCUGUGAGGAUGGCUACAGCCAUCUGGAUUCGGGCACGCCGGUUGGAAUCAGGAUCACCAUUCCUUGAACAUAGCCCAUAGCACAGGCCAGGAUUACCCAAGAAGCACGGUCGGAAUUGAUCAGUGUCGAAUAAGAUUGGAAGAUGCCCAGUGAGCUUGUUAUAGGACAGGUUAAGAACACCCAGCAGUUUCAGAUCCUGCAAUUGUGCAGGCACCUGACCAGAAAGCUCAUUGUUCGACAAAUCAAGCGUGCUCAUCUUAUCCAUACCCCCAAGCUCUUCAGGUAUACUACCACUGAGGUGGUUGUCUGAAAGAUUCAACAAUGUCAAAUUCUUCAGUUCUCCGAUGCUGCGCGGGAUCUCUCCAGAAAGGGAAUUGUUGCUCAAAUCAAGCAGGAAAAGCACCGAAAGAGAUGCGAGUGACGGCGGCACUGUCCCGGUGAAGCUGUUGUCCGAAGCCGACAGCACCACCAGCUGGGUUAAAUUCCCCAAUUCAGCAGGAAGAACACCGGUGAAUCGAUUGUUAUCAAUGAUGAGGUUGGACAGGUUCGCGGCACGGCCAAUGGCGGCGCCGACAUUGCCAGAGAACGCAUUGCCACGGAGCUCGAGCAGGUAGACAUGGGGCAAUCCCCAGAAUUCCGGCGGCACCGGGCCGGAGAGCCGAUUGCAGGGCAGCCUCACCCUCAUCAGCGACCUGCAUUUCCCCAGCUCGUCGGGAAUGGCGCCGUCGAACAUGUUGUUCAGCAGCAGGAGCUGGCUCAGCUUCCCGCCGGCGCAGAGCGUCGCCGGAAUCCGGCCGGACAUGCGGUUGUCCGAGACGUCCAGCGACUGGAGCGGGCAGUUCUUCCCGAACUCCGGCGGGAACGGCCCUUCGAUCUGGUUGGCGAAGAUCAUCAGCUCGGUCAGCCUCGCCGCCGCCGCGAGCGUCGCCGGCAACCGCCCGGUCAGGUUGUUCUGAUACAUGUGCACGCUCUCCAGGCUCGGCGCGGCGAACAUGUCCUCCGGUAUCUCGCCGGAGAUGUGGUUCAUCGAGAUGUCCAGUUGCUGGAGCUUCUUGAGGCCGCCCAACCCCGCCGGAAUCCUGCCGGAGAGCUGGUUGGAGAAGAGCUCUAUCUGGACCAAAGAACUCAAGUUCACGAUGCUCGGUGGUAUCUCACCGGUGAGGUUGUUGCUCGAGAGGUCCAGAUCGACGAGGUUGGUCAGCUUCCCGACGGAAGGAGGGAUGCUACCGGUGAGGGAGCAGUUGGCGAGGAAAAGCACGCGGAGCGCGGCGAGGUCGCCGAGGUUGUCCGGCAAUGGCGACGGGGAGAACGAGUUGUAGGCGAGCAGCAGCUCCUGGAGCGCGGUUACGUUGGCGAGGAACCCCGGGAACGCGCCGGAGACGAGGUUCUGUAUCAGGUUGAGCACCGCCAGCGACGGGAACCCGCCGCCGUAGGCCGCCGGGAGCUCGCCGGAGAAGUUGUUCGACGCGAGGUUGAGCGUCUCGAGCGCCUGGAGCCCCGCGAGGCAGGCGGGAAGCGGGCCCGUGAGGUCGUUCGACGACAUGUCGAGGUGCCGCAGCGACCGCAGCGAGCAGAGCGCGACGGGGAACCCCCCGGCGAGGUACAGACCGCCGAGGUAGAGCCCCGCGACGACGCCGUCGGAGACGGCAGCGUUCCCGGCCGCGGCGUCGCACGCCACGUGCGGCCAGCGGCAGAGGUCGUCGCCGCGCCAUGCCGAGAGCGCGGCGGUCGGGUCCGUGAGCGCGGCCCUGGCGGCGAGGAGCGCGCCCGCGUCGCCGGACGCGGCGCCGCCGGUGCCCGCGCGGACGCCCGGCAGGAGGAGGCCGGCGAACACGACGGCGAGGUGGAGCAACCGCCGGUGGAGCGGCGCCAUGGUGGAGGUGGUGGAGGUAGAGUGGGGAGCGUGGGUGGGAGGAGGAGAGGUUUAAAGGGAGGGAAGGAAGUUGCAUAGGAGGAUUGGAAGCAUCUCCUCCUGGGGUGGUUUUGUCUUUUAGAUAGACGAACACAUUGAAAGCGAUGAGGGUUGGGGAUUUUGGCUACAGCUACCAAGGGAAGUGUCCACACAGGGAGUAUUAUCACUACGAGAUACGCUUGGAUGUGGUGGUCCGCAUCGAGGGGAGGCUGGAUAUAGCGAGAGGUUGUACGGAUCAUGUAGCAAGUUUGGAAGAUAUCUAUGUGGUGAACGUGGCAAUAUAUAGAAUAUGCUGCUUUUUCCGUACAUGUAAAGUCAAUGCGCUUGGCUGACGUAUGAGAAACGUAUCCGGACGUUGAGUUACAGUUAGAUGUUGGUAAUGGUACGCUGGCGUUGGAAGAAAGCAAUUGUUCCGAUUUUUCUAUGUUGACAAGAUGAUUGUGGCUUUGGCUUUCCCAAAUAAAAUAUAUUAUUUUAGUUGCUUCAAAUAGAAUUAGAAAAAAAACUGCAAAAAUAUCUUACGUUACAAAAGCGUCGAUAAGAUAACGUCGGAUAAAAAAUUAUUCAAUUUUGUCCAUCUUUUCUUAAAGAGGAGGGCUAUAUUUAUCUCAAUAAUUUAUGAUGUUCUUGCUAUACCGAUUGCCAUUAAAAUAGUAUAACAGCUAAAAGGUAUCCGUAUUUCAAGUAUGAGAUUAUUCCUCGGCAUUGUAAGAGCACAUUUAGUUAGCAAACUUUAAUAGAACCUUUGGAUGUGGCAUACGAUUGAGUCAUGAUUUUAUUUUCAAGAAAAAAAAAGCAAGAAUAUAUCAUCUGGGAACCUCACCGGUUCCAAAUUAAAUAAGUAUGAAAAACAAACCGUUCAAGAUUUAUCUCCUGUCUCUACUCUAUCAAUACAUUCAUAUUCCUCUAAAAAAAAUGCAUUCAUAUUUUUUUUCAUCAGUUUUGGUAGUGGUGGUGGCCCUUGUGUGCAAAAAGAAAUGUGCUUUGCUGGGGUUCGUCUCCUCUGCUAUUAGGGAGUACUAGUAGCGUUUUACAGUGAAAAGUACCGUAAUUAUUUUAUGGGAUUACUGUAGCAACUACUCUCCUGCAUUCAUUCAAAUUUGAUCCAACGGCUACAAAUAGCUAUUGACAUGGAUCAGAGUAUGGAGUUCUCUACCAUUCCGGUUGGGAUGGCAGAGGAUACUAUCCCACUUUGCUGUGGAGUACACGGUCCCGUGUGGACGCAGCGAUAUUUGCGGUUGCUUAAUUAAGUCAGUGUUUGGGCCUGGGAAAUGCGGGAAGCGUGGUUUGGUUGGGCCUCGUUUUCCAGCGUUAAACAGUAACAGCAACGCCUCGUCUUCUUCUUCCUCUCGCCUGCAGUCGCACGCGCCCAGAGGCGCCAUGCACGCCGGCCGCAAGCAAGGGACCACGUACGUACUGAUCACUCUUUCUCUGCAUGCAGCUAUAGCCAGCUUCAAGCCUUGAUCGGUCUGCUACGAUCUGGACGACGCGCUCGCUCAGCUGGAUGGAUGGAUGCAUCAGCGUUUCGCGCGCGUGGCCUUCCUGCUCCAGGUGAUUCUUUUGUUGCUUGCGCUGUGCCGUUUCUUAAUUUGUCUUGCACGCGCGGCUCGAUCCCCUCCCUUUCUAUCUCUGCCUUGGCCAUCUCUGCCACUGAAUUGAGAAGUGAUGCAGGGAUGGAUGGGUUGGAACUGGGAGGAAGACGACGACGACGACGGCUCAAGCUGUUGGUUGUAGAUGGGGGGCGUUUUGGAGGAUUGAGAUCUUCUGUAGCCGUCGACUUCACCAUGCCAUUAUCACUGAUAUGUGAGCCCGAUAAUAUAUCGGGCCUACAUGUCAGUGGCAAAGGUACGGUGCUAGAUAAUCCUGAUCCGUUUUUGGAUGGUUGUGCAGCAGCGAGGGUGCGGGAGGAGGCGCCCGCCCCGGCCGCCGCCGCGCGCGCGGCGUGAGCGUGGCUUUCCGCGCGGCAACUGUGGCUACGGGAGUGGCUGAUCCUGGCCGGUGGGCUGGAAAAGCUAGCUAGCUCGUUGUUUGUGUGUUGUGUACUUGUGUGCGGGAAGGUUGUGACAGAUGGACCGCAUGCCACACGCGCACGGCGCGCUAGCGCUACUCUCCUCCUCCCUGCAUGCUCCUUAUAUGGUGGUUUCCGGAGCUGUUUGGCUUCGUUGUUCGUAUGCUCUUAGAGCUAGAGCUGGUACAAUAACAUACUAUUAGCCAAAUGUAACAUAUUUUAAUGAGAUAAAAGAUAAGAAAGAAGAAUAGCGGACUACAGAUCUGUAGCCAGCUGCAGCGUGAACUCCAAGACGCAAUGUGUGUAUGACAUGUAUGGCCAUAUAUCUAUCUAUUAUAUUAUUAAAGGAAUAGAAAAAGGAGCCUCCACGUUCGCUCUCAUAGCCUAGAAAUUCUCACAUUAAUCGGAGAAAAAGAAAAGCAGAGUCCAUAUAGAAAUACAAUUUAGAAAUAGCUGAAAUUCGAAAUUAAAAAAUAAGGAAUAUUAGAAGAAGAGACUAGAGUCCAUAUAGAAAUACAAUUUAGAAAUAACUGAAAUUCGGAAUUAAAAAAUAAGGAAUAUUAGAAGGGGAGACUAGAGUCCAUAUAGAAAUACAAUUAGGAAAUAACUGAAAUUCGCAAUUAAAAAAUAAGGAAUAUUAGAAGAGGAGACUAGAGUCCAUAUAGAAAUACAAUUAGGAAAUAACUGAAAUUCGGAAUUAAAAAUAAGGAAUAUUAGAAGUAGAGUAUAGAGUCCAUAUAGAAAUACAAUUAGGAAAUAACUGAAAUUCAGAAUUAAAAAUAAGGAAUAUUAGAAGUAGAGUAUAGAGUCCAUGUAGAAAUAUAAUUAGUAAAUAAUAUAAAUUCGGAAUUAAAAAUAAAGAAUAUUAGAAGUAGGGUAUAGAGUCCAUAUAGAAAUACAAUUAAGAAAAAAAAAUAGAAAUUUGGAAUUAAAAAAUAAGGAAUAUUAGAAGUAGAGUAUAGAGUCCAUAUAGGAAUUUAAAACUAACUAAAAUUUGGAAUAAACAUAAUAAAAUUAAAAGUAGAGUCUAGAGUCUAGAGUCUAGGGUCUAGAGUCUAGAUUCAGAGUUAAAAAUAAAGAAAUAUUGAAAGACGAGUUUAGAGUCCAUAUAGGAAUAUAAUUUACAAAUACUAAAAUUUGAUAUUAAAAAUAAUUAAUAACUAACACGUAUAUAUAAUAAAAUAUAAAUAUUACACAUUAGUAGUUUCGUAAAGUUAGUAUAAAAUUUAAAAUUAGAAUAUCAUUUUUAAUAUAUUUGAAUAAUACAUUGAGAAAACAUAUAUGCUAUUACAUGAGAAAAAAAAUAUAAUGAUGCUAGCCGCGCAAUCUGCGUGGGCCACCGUGCUAGUUAAUAGUAUAGUAAGCAACUAUUAUAUAAAUUGGCUAUUAAAUUGACUAUAGAUGAAUUGGAGCUAUUAGUGGGCUAUACUAUUAAACUUGCUCUUACAUGACACGGAAAAAGAUUUUUUUGAAAAAAAAAAGCAAUUAGCGUACGAUUAAUAUAAUAUGGAGUAAUUUAGUACAAAUAAGUUAAAAAGAAUCGUUUUUACAUAUCAUAAUAAAACGAACGAAUGGAGUUAGCUGCACCAGUGAUAUAUGCCAAGCUAUUUAGCUGUCCCCUAGCUUGGUGUGGCUAGGCUAGUAAUCCGUCCGUCUUAUUUUAAGUGUAAAGAUUUUUCUAUAUCAAAUAUUUGACCGUUCGUCUUAUUUAAUUUUUUUUAAAAAAAUUUCACACAUAAAAAUAUUAUAAAAUUUCAAAUAAGACCGACUGUCAAACGUUGGGAACAGAAACUCACAAAUGCACCUAAAAUGGGACGUAUGGAUACGUGCAGUAACCUUUUCUGGUUUUGAAACGAUAGUAUAUUUCAUGAUUACCAUACGGUUUUCACGAUAACCGCACGGUUACCACAGUAACCACGAAAUCAGGAGUGACGAUGACGAUAAUCACCCUAAACGGUUUGGUAAAGUAUUGAGAGUUGUGCAGUAUAGGAGACUAGUUACUAGUAUAGUUGUACAGUCAUACAAAGCUAUGCACUCUAGCUUGUUAUAAAUGAUUUGCUGGUCAUUUCUGAACCUUUUGCAGAGUUUGGCAACGAAUAGAUUUCUUAGGCAUUGUUUAGUUCCCACGCAAAAAACUUUCACGAUAUCACAUUAAAUAUUUAGACACAUGUAUGGAGUAUUAAAUAUAGAAAAAAAACUAAUUACACAGAUUGCGUGUAAAAUUGUGAGACGAAUAUUUUAAGCCUAAUUGCUACAUGAUUUGACAAUGUGGUGCUACAGUAAACAUUUGCUAAUAACAGAUUAAUUAGGCUUAAUAAAUUCGUCUCACAGUUUAUAGGCGGAAUAUGUAAUUUGUUUUGUUAUUAGUCUACGUUUAAUACUACUAAUGUGUGUCCGUAUAUCCGAUGUGACACGCCAAAACUUUUUACCCCUGAAUCUAAACACAGCCUUAUUUUGAGCUAUAGGUUGUGAAGUUCUACGCUCGAUGAAAACCAAUAAGGGAAAGCACCCAUGCAACACAAUUGAGCAUUUCCUACUACUUUCUACCCCUUCGUCUAAAAAAACAACCAACAAUCCUACCUAAGAAACUGACACACUAGGAUUUUUUUUUAUAGAUUAGCAGUAAGUAGUAAGAUUUUUCUUAGGAUUCAAGUUUGACAGAUGCCACCCUAAUUUUCACUGGCUUUCCUGUUUGUUUUUCAAAAUCCGUGUUCUGGCAUACAGAUACGGUAGGCCGAAAAUUGCUAAGAAACGGCCAAGAAAAUUCAGUUAAAGUUGCAAGGCAGUUUCUGAAUGAUCGGUAGUAUAGCUCUGUUCAAAAUGAUCUGUUGCUAGCUGCCUGCUGCAUGUAACGUGUACUCCUACGAACGAGCUUAGACUGCAGCAGCAGCAGCAUCUACUACAGUGCAUAAGGCACAUGUACCAUGCAGUACCCGGGGUAGUUUGACGCUAGCCAUGAAAAUUUACGUUAAAUUAUUUUCCUUUUUCUUUGGUUGCAUCGGUUCAUCACAUGAGUUGUACGCUUGGCUUUUGCACGGUUGCUUGUUGUUUUGGUGGCUUGCGGCUGCAGGGGUUUUGCACUGACACGUAUCGAUCUAGAGGCAUGGUUUCAGCUUCGGUGAAUAAUUAAACCGUCAAAUUUAAUUAGAAUAUGUUUCUUUUGUCACUUUUUUUACCCUCGGUUCCAGGUACUUCCAAUAUUUGAAUUUUAUUGAAAAACUAGAAAGGAAGCCCGUACAUAUGCACGGGCAUAUCGUAUUUAUUGCUAAGAGAAUUAAGUCAUAUCUCACCAUAUACAUAUAAGAAUAGAUUUGGCCUCGUAAUAAAAAAAAUAUGUUGUAAAAUAGACCGUAGACUUUUAUAUAAAUGAUAAGCAUGUCUCUUAUAUUCAAACAAAAAUCACUUUUGUCCAGGUAAAGUGUAAAUCUCCUAUUAUCACCAUUACUAAUUAUCAUGAUAUGUUUUUAAUAAAUAGAACUUCAUCUGUACCAUCAAAAUAAGGCUAAUAAAUCAUUAAUACAUAAAAUGUUCAUUUCAACUACGUACAUAAAUGUUAUGUCAACACUUAUUUCUAAAUCUACGAGUAAAUAUUCUAAAACUACCGCUUCUAUUGGUUAUUAGGAUAACACCAUUUAAACACAUUUAAUUUGUUUUUUAUAUUGAUCUGGUUUAACUUGCAUAUUUAUUUUUGGAGUACUAAAAUUUAUUUUAUUGUAUAGAAAAUCCUAUUUUGAAAACCAUCUAUAUUCCGAUGGUUCUACCAACUUAUAUUAGUAUUUUUUUUGGGUGUUAUAGCUUUAUUAUGGUAUGCACAUACCUUUUUUUUGUUUUAUUCAAUCGAACAUCCGGUAAAAUGGUUUCUCUCGUAUACAUAGGAGAUUAAGAGGGAGCGGGCCGAUCUAAUGAUCUAAAAUAAUGGGUCCAUCAUUUUGAAUGAAAAUUGACAACGAAAUUAUAGAGUGCCACGUGGUAUUCUAAGAGUGCUUGCAGAAAUGCCACAUGACCAUAUUUGUGGAGUAAUAAAUUUUAUUUUUAUAGUAUAGAAAAUUCUAUUUUUAUAAGACCGUCUAUUUUUUUCUUCCGACGCACAUAAAUUUUUUUGGGUCUUAUAGCUUUUUUUACUCAUGUAACUGUACAUACUUUUUUUUAAGAGAACUAAAGGGCUUUAUUUUGUUUUAUAGUCUUUUUAUCGUAGUACAUACUCUGAUAUAUAAUUUUUUGGUCUUUAUAGCUUUAUUAUCGUAUAUACGCAUGUUUCUUUGUAUUUUUUUUUCAAUCGAACAUCCGGUAAACAUUUUCUCUCGUUUACACAGGAAAUUUUGAGGAAAUAGGCUAAUGUAAUGAUAUAAAAUAAUGGAUCCAUCAUUUUAAAUGAAAACUGAUAGCAAAAUUGUAAAGUGUCAUGCAUGUAGCAGUCUAAGAUUGUUAUAUAGUAUAGAAAAUUCUAUUUUAAAAAACCAUCUAUAUUUUUUCAACCGACGUACAUAUAUUUUUUUUAUAGGUCUUAUACUUUUUUUAUUACUCGUGAAAAGUGUCAUGCAUGUGACAGUCUAAGAAGAGUGUUUAUAGAAACGCCACGUGACCUUAUUUGUGAAGUAAUAAAUUUUGUUUUCAUAGUAUAGAAAAUCCUAUUUUAAAAAAAAACCGUUAAUUUUUUCUACUGAUAUAUGUAUAUAUUUUUUAGGUCUUAUACCUUUUUCUUAUUACUCGUGCAUACGUGUAAGUUUUUCAAGUGUAGGUACGUAUUUAUCGUAGGUAUGUACUUUAUGGAUAGUACUGUACGUACGAUCACGAUCACGAUGCCAUCGGCAGGUUUAGUUUUUUUUUUUUUCCCGUCGUAUGUAUAUACGCCACAGUAAGUUUUUCCGGUAUAUAUAUUGAAAGGAAGUAUUAGAUUUAAUCUAAUGGCUUAAAAUAAUGGGUCCACCAAUUUAAAUGAAAAUUGAUGAUGAGAUUAUAAACUGCCACGUGGCAACCUAGGAGUGUUUGUAGGAGCGCCACAUGGCGGCUUAGGAAUGUUUAUAGGAAGAUUAAUGGAUUUUUAGUAUAUAAUAGAUAGAUAGAUAGAUUGAUAGAUAGAUAGAUAGAUAUAGCUACUAUUUCUAAAUCUCUUAUCUCAACCAAUAUUUACAACAAUCUUUUAUUUAAUUUUUUCAUAUAUUUUAUCAACCCAACCGAUCACUAUCAUUUCUCUUUUAGUUUCACGUCCCUUCUUAAUCCUGUGAAAAACAUCAGAAGUGCUUGUGUUUUUUAUAUGGGAAUCAUUUUUCAACCUUGAUUUCUGGACCGUUUAUGAAUACAAGUAGUAUAUGAUUACAGUAUAUGUCAGGGUUAUGGAUACCACAUAUCUAAUAGUAGUUGACUAAAUCUCGACAGGACCCACUACAUACCAUGUUCUAUACAGAAGCAAUCUUCGGAUAUAGGAAGAGUUCCGGAUAAGGAAAGACAACCAGAGUUCUACGUGAAAACGACAAGGACUACUCGGAUUGUAUCCAUAUUGGUUUCCCUAGUUCUACUUGUAUAAGAGGACACCUAUGGGUAUAAAUACAAGCCCCCCUAGGAGGAGGAGAGGGGGGAGAAUGAACACCCAACAUAAUCGACAUAGAAGCCACAACAUAGAAGCCUACAUACGCUAAGACACGCCGCCGGAUAUCGACUUCAGGGAUAAACACGGCUAGUACCCUACGGUGUCUCCGGAUACUGUCAGGAGAGAUGAAAGCGCUAUCUCUGAUCUCGCCGGGCACGGAUUCGAGGAGAAAGGCUACCCUGUUGUCGACUACGGGUCAGAUCGUCAGACCGCUAUGUCGACAACAGUUAGAUAGGCUACCCUAAAUAUUAUACUGGUAUGAUUAUCAUGAAUAAGAGCAAUACUGGCUUCAGCCAACAGGAUAUAGGGUUAUUACCUGACAAUUCAGGGGCCCGAAUCUGUAUAAAAAUCCUCGCCUCCGUCUCUUUACCUCAGUCUCGCGUAUAUCCUAGUACCAACGAUCCCUAUACCAUGCAAAUACCGUAGUCGAGACAUCAAACGUCGACAGUGGCGCGCCAGGUAGGGGGAUUUUGGUGCUUCAGGAUUUCGACAAGAUGGGUUUAAGAGAUGGACUCUCCGACAACAAGCUAUUCGACGACUUCGGACCAGGAAGAUCCAACCCGGCCAGAGUACGUCUCUCGAUGAGGUUGGAAUCAUCGUCAUCAACUAUUUGAUCCGGCGAGAUCGAUCAAGCUCCAAGAUAUCAUCGCCGCGAAGGAUAAUAGUUCAAUAUCGCCAGAUACGGGACUUCGGUUCAUGUCGACUACAACGGAACUUGCCGAUCUACGAUCAUAAUUGGUCCCGACCGAGUCCAAAUCUGAUUACGUGCGCCUGUAAAUUCUCAAAACCGGCUGGCGGCUGCACCUUGUGCCUGGAUAGUCCUACUCGGACACGAUGACAAGAGGAUGCACACUAUACGUGAAGUCUGUACAGGGAACUGAAGCACGUGUCCACCAUGUGACGGGAUGCCACCCGUUUUCAGGUAUUUGAUAGAUUAAUUUUUUAAAUUAAUCUACUAAUUUUGUAGAUAUAUCCGGUAUAUAUCUACACAGGUACACAAUAUUUUCGUACCUAUUUUUACAAUCUAUACAGCAUUGUCAGAUCUAUAUUAUGUUUACCUAGAGCAUGUUUUUUAUACAAUAUCUAUUGCGCGAGUGUCCCCGAUGUUAAAUCGACAACGGUUUAACGCUGGGGCUCGCUCUAUUUUCUUCUGUAUAAAUCAUGCUUGUUUACGGUUUACAUAAUGCCUGAUAUUUAUAUCUGCUCGUUAUAUCCUGAUAAUACUAGAAGAUACAUGCAGUUUUUUGAGUACAUACUCGAUAUUCUCUGCUAUAUGUCUUGCCUUCUAGAAAAUAUUUUUCAUGAACAAUUGAGCACUUGAGUAGGUUGUGGUCAAGUACAUCGCAUUGUCGAGAACGAUCUCGACAAAUGCAGAGUCGUUGCGCCCAACCUACCAACAAAGACCGACGACCUAUCUCAUAGCACCGGCCAUGGCUGGACUACUCGAGAAAAGGUUGUUAACGGAUAAUUCCUCGGGAACGCCGUUGGCUUGAUCACCCGACAUGAUUGCGAACGGACAUCCGGAUAUGCUACAAGUUGGGUGUGUGAGUCAUGCUGGCCACAUGACACGCACAUGUAAUAAACCAACUCUAGCACCUCCAUUGGUGUUCGAGAGAUAAUUCUACACGUUCGGUGGUUCUCGAACCAGUACGUAGCAAUCUCCCGCACCGCAGCUUCCAUUGGUGCACCGCAGCUUCCAUUGGUGCACCGCAAGCUUCCAUUGGUGUUCGAGAGAUGAUUCUACUCGCUCGCUGGUUCUCGAACCAGUACGUAGCAAUCUCUCACAUCGCAAGCUUCCAUUGGUGUUCGAGAGAUGAUUCUACUCGCUCGCUGGUUCUCGAACCAGUACGUAGCAAUCUCUCGCACCGCAAUCUCCAUUGGUGUUCGAAAGAUGAUUCUACAUGUUUGUUGGUCCUCGAACCAGUAUGUAGCAAUCUCUCGCACCGCAACCUCAGAUGGUCGAGGUACGACUACAGCAAUAACGCAGCGGUCCUCGCACCACGACUUCAAAUAAUCGAGAGACACCUACUUACUGGUUCUCAACCAGUCAAUCGUAGCGAUCUAUCGUACAUUUACUUCUAGUGGUCGAGUUUAGACUACAUCUGGUUCUCGACCAGCGGUGUAGCGAUUCUCCCACUGCCCUUAAUUCUAGUGGUCGAGUUUAGACUACAUCCGGUUCUCGACCAGCGGUGUAGCGAUUCUCCCACUACCUUUACUUCUAGUGGUCGAGUUACGACUACUACCUGGUUCUCGACCAGCGGUGUAGCGAUUCUCCCACUACCUUUACUUCUAGUAGUCGAGUUAUGACUACUACCUGGUCCUCGACCAGCGGUGUAGCGAUUCUCCCACUACCUUUACUUCUAGUGGUCGAGUUAUGACUACUACCUGGUCCUUGACCAGAGGUGUAGCGAUUCUCCCAUUACCUUUACUUCAACAAAGUUGAUAUCAGGUACACAAUAUCGCCAACUGUUUUACCCAGAGAUCCCUUACCACGAUGACACCUAGCGUUGAAACCUAUCCUACUGUUCCUUUACGCUGUCUUGACAAGGCCUCUGAGGAAUCUAAGGGAACUUUAGCUGGGGACGCCCAGAGCCGAUAAGGCCUUGUCGGAUCCUUCAGAGACGAAAGACCAUGUAAGAUCUGGUCGUGUAAGAGUUCUCGCCGUGCGUAUUAACCAAGCUGUGUAAUCAGAAAUGGAUUUUCCAACUUCACGGCUGGGGGCUAGGAUCAGUGCUUAUUCAACUAAGGCAGGUCAAAGGUCCAAGAGCCUUAUCCUCCGAGAACGAUUCUCCGACGACAAUGCUGGGGGCUAGGGAGAGUGUAUAACUCAACAAACUGACUGAUCGAAGUCGGUAAAAGAGUAGACGCUCAUAUACAAAACAUUGGUCUGUAAGUUUAAUUCAUUUUCGGUUUUCCAUACAUAUUAUAACAUGUUACCCUUUGAGCGUUCGCUCGGGGGCUAUUUCUAUCUAAUAUUCUUUUCUGAGUAUUGAUUUCAGGAAAAUUCUAUUUGACAUUAUCGAAGAUUCCAUGUCUCUAUGGUUCUACACCAAGAUCAACUAAGGCGAGUAUGAUAAAUGUUGACAAGGCUCCGUCGCAGACUCUACGCCUACUCGAUUACUCGAGAACGGUUGGUGGAUCUCGACAAGGAAUACGGAAUGAAGAGAUGGUGUACCGCCGAGAUAAAAUUUCUUGACUUCAAUCCAAAUUCUCGAUUACAGCAAGACGGGAGACUUAGUCGUAUGCUUUGUACUUUCUUGGUUGACAUCGGAGAUUGACUCAGACAAACCCUUUAGGUGUCCGCACGAGGCUGAUAAAGGAAGUCUAACGUUAUCUCUGAACUCACCGAGAACGGUUACGUGCGCUCGAUAACAGUUCCUCCAAGGUCUGCGGUUGAGAAUAUGAACUUGUUCAUUUGCAUUGAAGUCGGGGGCUACUGUCAGGGUUAUGGAUACCACAUACCUAAUAGUAGUUGACUAAAUCUCGGCAGGACCCACUACAUACCAUGUCCUAUACGGAAGCAACAUUUGGAUAUAGGAGGAGUUCCGGAUAAGGAAAGACAACCACAGUUCUACAUGGAAACGAUAAUGACUACUCGGAUUGUAUCUAUAUUAGUUUCCCUAGUUCUACUUGGACAAGGGGACACCUAUGGGUAUAAAUACAAGCCCCCCUAGGAGGAGAGGGGGGAGGAUGAACACCCAACAUAAUCGACAUAGAAGCCACAACAUAGAAGCCUACAUACGCCAAGACACGCCGCCGGAUAUCGACUUCAGGGAUAAGCACAGCUAGUACCCUACGGUGUCUCCGGAUACUGUCAGGAGAGACGAAAGCGCUAUAUCUGAUCUCGCCGGGCACGGAUUCGAGGAGAAAUGCUACCCUGUUGUCGACUACGGGUCAGAUCGUCAGACCGCCAUGUCGACAAUAGUUAGAUAGGCUACCCCAAAUAUUAUACUAGUGUGAUUAUCAUGAAUAAGAGCAAUACCGGCUUCGGCCAACAGGAUGUAGGGUUAUUACCUGACAAAUCAGGGGCCCGAACCUGUAUAAAAAUCCUCGCCUCCGUCUCUUUACCUCAGUCGCGCGUACAUCCUAGUACCAACGAUCCCCAUACCAUGCAAAUACCGUAGUCGAGACAUCAAACGUCGACAGUAUAUGAUUAUAAAAUAAAAAUCAUAUACAGUCAUAAAAUCACUGUAUAAAAAAAUACUAGUUAUGGGUUUUAUCUAGUAGAUCUUGUACAUGAUCCAUACUACUAAUUAUUACUUUAUUCGUGUCAAAAUAAGUUUAUUUUUUUCCUCCCAUUUAUCUUAAAAUAAAUUUAUUUCUAAGCAAUCGUCAUAUUGGAGUUUAUAAAAGUAGGGUAUAAAUAUAUUGAAAGUACAUAAGAGAGUAAGUUUGUGUCCUUUUGGACACUUUGUCAACUCUUAACCCUCAUUUUUCGCACAUUUUUUAAACUGUUGAACUGUGUGAUUUUUGCAAAAAAAAUAUAAAAAUCUAAUUUAAGAAAUAUUUAAUACUAAUUAAUCAUGUGUUAAUCCAUUGCUUUAUUUGCGUGCCCAUAUGAAAGGGUUACCAACACUGGCUAUCGAACACAUCCUAAUGAUUGCAUAAAAUAUGUAGUCUUUUCGAUUUCAUAUUGGUAUGCUAUUGAACACAAUCCAAUAGUUGUAUCGAGAUGUGAUAAAAUAAAGAUAUUAUAGUAUUUUUAAUUUUGUAUUGGUACGUGUAGAAUGUGUGAAAAAUAAACUUAUUUUGGGACGAAGCGAUUACGCAAUGAUCGUAUUGUUCAAGUUAGAGGGAGAGACCACGAGACACCGUGUUCAGAACACAAUAGUCUCGCAGGACUCGCAGUGAAAAUGGUUCAAAACGGCAGAGAAAGUAUACGGAGAUAAGGCCAGCAGAGAAGCACGGGGCAUGUCGAGUCUGAGAUUCGAGAAAGGCAUGGAGAAAGAAGCUGAGCAGCAGGGUUUACGAUUCCAAUAUGAACUUCAGUUUCGGGCUCUGGUGAAAUGACGGUUUUCAUGAAAUCUGGUGAAAAGCCGGUAAAUUCUGAACAAAUUUCAUAAACCAAAAUUUGAAUACAAAUACCUUGAGUUUAUCGAUAAGCUUGCGAAAACCAGUCGACUUUAGCCAAAUUCCGAGCGAAAUCAUCGAAAUUUAAGUGUUUUCCUUUUUUUAGUUUGUUAUUCUUUUCUUUCCUACUAUAAAUUUCAGUAAAUACACAGAAUACACCUUUUUUUCAAAAAUUACGAAAAUCAUACUAUUUAUAAGAUUUCAAAUUUGAAUUUAGUCGUGUUUAGACACAUGUAUGGAGCAUCAAAUGUGGACGAAAAAACCAAUUGCACAGUCCGACUGUAAAUUGUGAGACGAAUCUUUUGAGCCUAAUUACGCCAUGAUGUGACAAUAUGAUACUACAGUAAACAUUUGCUAAUGACAGAUUAAUUAGGCUUAAUAGAUUCGUCUCGCAGUUUACAAGCGGAAUCUGUAAUUUGUUUUGUUAUUAGUCUACGUUUAAUACUUUAAAUGUGUGUCCGUAUACUUAAAAAAAUUUUGGCACACGAACUAAACAUAGCCUUUAAAUGAAACUCAUCAAAAUCUCAAACGGCUUCUACUUUCGAGUCUCGUCAAAAUCUUAAAGUUUUACGGAAUUCGAUCGGUUUUCGUCGAAAUUGAGAACCCUGCUGAGCAGAACAAGGAUUUCCAAUUGUAACGCCCCGAUUUUCAUUUGGGAUAAAAAUCAUUUAAUAAUGCAUUUUCUAGAAAUUAAAUAAAAGUUAAAUCAAUUUAAUUAAGUGAAAUAAUGGGAGAAUUAAAAUUUUCCAUUAAAAAUCAUUGGCCGGGAAUAUUUUGUAAUAUUCUUUGUGCCCUAAUACACCCUCCGGAUUUUUCCGUGAAUUUUCGGAGCUCAAUAAAUAAUUUUAAUGCCACAAAGUUCACUAAAUCAAUUUAAAGAAAAAGAAAAAAAAACAAAUUAAAUCCUCCUUCCUCCCUUUUCGAGCUCGGCCCAAUCCUCUCUCCUUCCUCUACCGUGGCCCGGCUUGCCUCCCCUUUUGACGCAAGUCUGCUUUUCCUCCCUCUCGGCCUCCCCUCUCACUCAGGCCGACAGGUGGGACCUGUGGGCCCCACCUGUAAUCCCCGAGAUCUAGCCAGGCCGGCAACUGCCGCCUGAGCCGCUCCCGCGUCCUGCCACCACCGCAGCCUUCGCCGCCCCGCGGGCAAGCCCGGAGCCGCUCCCCCAUUCCACCCCCGAGCUGCCCUCUCCACGGUGAACCCGAGCCACCGUCGCCAUUGCCGCCUCUGGCCGCCAAUCGCUGCCGCUCUCGUCCGUCCCGCGCUACACCGUCGCCUCCCUCGGCUCCGCAAGGACGAGGAGAACCUCGGCCACCUCUUCCCAUUGCCGAAAACUCACUGGACGUCCGUUUUCCCGUACACCGGUGAGACCUUCCUCCCUUC
rnacentral:lncRNA from 1 species